rnacentral:lncRNA from 1 species
GGCUCUGUUUAUUUGGAUUACCCAUAAAAGAGUAACAUUUGGAGACUUAGGGCUCUGUUCAUUUGGGUUACUCAUAAAGGGUAACAUUUGGAGACUUAGGGCUCUGUUCAUUUGGGUUACUCAUAAAGGGUAACAUUUGGAGACUUAGGGCUCUGUUCAUUUGGGUUACUCAUAAAGAAUAACAUUUGGAGACGUAGCGCUCUGUUCAUUUGGGUUACUCAUAAAGAGUAACAUUUGGAUCUGUUCAUUUGGGUUACUCAUAAAGAGUAACAUUUGGAGACUUAGGGCUCUGUUCAUUUGGGUUAUUCACAAAGGGUAACAUUUAGAGACUUAGGGCUCUGUUCAUUUGGGUUACUCACGUAGGGCUCUAUUCAUUUGGGUUACUCAUAAAGGGUAACAUUUGGAGACUUCAGGCUCUAUUCAUUUGGGUUACUCAUAAAGGGUAACAUUUGGAGACUUAGGUCUAUAUUCAUUUGGGUUAUCCAUAAAGGGUAACACUUGGAGAUUUAGGCCUCUGUUCAUCAGGUAUUGUUCACGGGAAUUAUUCAUCGGGUACUGUUCACGAGUACUGUUCAUCGGGGGUACUGUUCACGCAUACUGUUCUUCGGGUACUGUUCACGAGUACUGUUCAUAGGGUACUGUUCACGAAUUCGAAAUUCUAUUCACUGUAAGGCGUUUUACCAAGCUGAGAAAAUAUGGUCUCCCGUUCUAGUGCUGAAUCUAAAUGUCGAGUCAUGGCAAAAACCAUUUGUGAAGUUUUGUGGGUACGUCAAUUAUUGGAAGAAGUUGGGUUUACAAAUUCAGUGUCUGUUAAGUUGUAUGGGACGAGUUGAUUAUAUAUGUAACAAGUUGGGCAUGAUUAACAUUUAUGCUCCAACUUGAGGGGGAGUGUUAUAGAUUAUAGGAAGUAAAUAUAUUAAUAUAGGAAGUAAAUAUUGAUAGAUGGGUUAGUUGCUUAAUUUUAGGGAUUGUAUAAUUAUAGACUUGAUUUUCUUUCCUGUUUAGAUACCGUCUUUUAUAUAUAAAUAGGUUGUAAUCUUUAUUAUGAAAUACAACAUCAAAUAUUAUAUUUCUACAAGGAGUGGGUCUAUAAUUUUCUUGCAAGAUUGAAUAACGAAUAUGAUCCAAUUCGGGUCCUAGUGUUGGGGAAAAGUCAUUUUCCUUCUCUAAAAGAGGCCUACGCCUAUGUUCAACAAGAGAAAAGUCGUCGACAUGCUAUGCUCUAUACUUGUACCAGUUGAAAGGCUGGCAGCCUCCUAAUUUUGAGAAAGAUCACCUGCAUUAUGACUAUUAUGGGAAAUCGAGGCAUAAGACUUGGUAGAAGUUACAUGGACGUCCCACUAGAACCCGUGGGGGGAAAUGAGCUACCUCCAAAAUUCAAGCUUGUUGACUUAUUUGCUAAUCCUAAUUGAUUCUAGGGAUUUGAUUUGAUUAGGAUCCUUAAUUAUCUCUGUAAUUAUUAUUUGAUUAUUUGCUUCCUGUUUAGAUAUGAUUCUUUGUGUAUAAAUAGCCAUGUAGACAUAUUGUACAAAUCAAGAGUGAAAUACAAGAAUACUCAAUAUUCUUCCAAAAAUCUUCAAAGCUAAUUUCACAAAAACUGUAGAGGAGCCCUUUAAGGAGACAACAGCAGCCGAGUUGCUUUCCCCUAAUGAAAUUUAGAGUCUCAAACGCCUUCUGUCUCAUAUUGACACAUCUUCCUCCUCUAGUGCCAUGUCUAACUUUGUAAAGUCAGAUAAUGCUUCCUCUUUUGAUACUGUUCCAUGGAUUAUUGAUUUUGGUGUGAAUAGACAUAUGACAGACUCUUCUAAAAGCUUUCUUAAUUAUUUUCCUUCUCUAACCAAAGAUAGUGUCAGAAUUGCUGAUGGCUCUUUUACUUCCAUAUGCAGAAUAGGUUCUGUUACUUGUGCACCUAAUAUUAAAUUAUCAUAUGUCCUUCAUAAUCUCCGUUUUCCUAUCAACUUUUUAUUUGUCAGUGCUAUCACCAAUACUCUUAAUUGUAAAAUUGAAUUCUUAACUGUAAAAUUGAAUUCUUAACUGUAAAAUUGAAUUCUUUCCUGAUCAUUGUGUUAUUCAGGAUCUUUCCACUGGGAAGAGGAUUGACAAUGGUAGAUUGUAUGAUGACUGAAGGUGAUCCAGGGUCUCCGAUAUCUCAAGCCUGUUUUUGGAGAAAAUAAAUAGAUCAAUCAAGAAAUAAUAUAGUGGCAUAGACGGUUAGGGCAUCCAUCAUUUUGUCUUAGAAAAACUUUAUCCUAGUUUGUUUGCUACAACUCAGUUUGGUUGUUUAUUUUGUAAUGCUUGUGAGUAUGCUAAGCACACUAGAACCUCUUAUCCUUUGAAUCAUAAUAAAAGCCAAAUUCCUUUUGUGACUAUUCAUUUUAAUGUUUGGGGGCUUACUCAAACUGUCUCCUUAUCUGAUAAUCUAUGGUUUGUCACCUUUAUUGAUUGUUGCACUCAAAUGACUUGGAUCUAUUUGCUGAUGAGAAGAUUUAGAGGAAGAAAGUGUUCAUGGAGAUCCCUAAUGGGUUCGUUAAUGAGAAGAUAUAAGGAAAGGUGUGCAGAUUAAAAAAGGCUUUGUAUGUGUUAAAACAAUUUCCUAGAGCUUGGUUUGACAGGUUUUGCAGAGCCAUGAUGUCCUUUGGUUACCAACAGAGUAAUGCUGAUCACACUAUAUUUAUUAAACAUCACAAGGGUAAGAUCACCCUUCUUAUUGUGUAUGUUGAUGAUAUAAUAGUGACAGGUGGUGACAAAGAGGAAAUGACUCAACUAAAAAGGUUGUUGGCCCAAGAAUUUGAAAUCAAAAAUCUAGAAAAGCUGCAAUAUUUCCUAGGCAUUGAGGUGGCUAGAUCCAAAAAAGAAUCUUCAUCUCCCCAAAAGAGUAUGUUUUGGAUCUUUUAGAAAAAACUAGUACGUUAGGGUGUAAACCAGCAGAAUCUCCCUUUGAAAGUAAUCACAGUAUGCAAGCAAGAACCGGUGAGUCCAUGGAUAUUGGAAUAUACCAGAGAUUGGUAAAGAGGUUAAUUUAUCUCUCACACAUUCAACCAGAUAUAGCCUAUGCUAUUAGCUUAGUUAGCCAAUUCAUGCAUGACCCUCGCAAGACUCAUAUACAAUUGUACUUCGCAUCUUGAGAUACCUAAAGUCUGCGCCAGAGAAAGGGCUUCUUUAUUCCAGACAUGGUCACCUCCGAGUUAAAGCUUUUACAUAUACAAAUUGGGCAAAAUCUCUCGAUGAUAGGAGAUUCACUUCUGCCUACUGCACAGUUGUGGGAGGGAACCUUGUCACUUAGAGGAGCAAAAAACAAAGUGUUGUUGCUCAAUUAAGUGCUGAAGCAAAAUACAAAGCAAUGGCCCAAGGUAUGUGUGAACUUUUAUGGUUUCAGAAGUUAUUGGAGGAGCUGAGAUUGCCCGAGAGACAAUAUAUCUUUGUAUUGUGACAACAAAGCUGCCAUCAGUAUAGCACAAAAUCCAGUCCAACAUGACUGAACGAAACUCAUUGAGAUUGAUCAGCACUUCAUUAAAGAAAAAAUAACAAACGGUGUCUUGAGCUUAGUUCAUGUGACUUCUACUAGGCAAUUUGCAGAUGUGUUUACUAAAGGGUUCAACAAUAAGAUUUACCAUAAUCUGAUUUGCAAGUUGGGCAUGGGCGACAUCUACGCACCAACUUGAGGAGGAGUGUUGACUUAUUUGCUGAUUCUAAAGAGAUGAUUUGAUUUGAUUAUGAUUCUUAAUUAUCUAUGUAAUUAUUGCUUGAUUAUUUGCUUUCUAUUUAGUCAUAAUUCUUUGUAUAUAAAUAGUCAUGUAAAUCACUUGUAAAUAUCAAGAGUGAAAUACAAGAAUACUAUAAAAUUUUCCAAAAUUCUUCACAUACAAAAAUUUUUCAAACAACAGACUUUCCCAUACUCUCCCUGUGCAACAAACCUAGUGGUUGCUCCAUAUACACCUUGUCUUAGAGAUCACAAUAUAAAGAUGAAUUCUUGAUAUCUAAUUGGUGUAAAGGCCAAUGGUGAGAGGCAGCUAGGGAGAUGAACAAGCGAAUCAAGGUCAUUUUGGCCAUAUGAGAAAAAGUGCCAGAGUAGUCAACGCCAUAGGUUUGGGCGUAGCCGUUAGCGACAAGACGACCUUUAAGCCUCGCUACAGAAUCAUCUGCAUUAACUUUGAUAGCAAAAACCCAUUUACAACCCACAGUCUUCUAGUCAGGGGUAAAUUAACUAGUUUCUAAGUAUGAUUUUCAUCUAGAGUCUUGACUUCCUCAAGUAUAACGUCACGUCAUCUAGAAUGGCUAGAACCUCCUUGACUGUCUUAGGUAAGGAAAUGGAAUCUACAGAGGCAAUUAAAGAGAUAGAGGAAGGAGACAAGUGAUCAUAAGAAAGAAAGUUAGUAACAAAAUAAGUAGACUUCCAUUGUUGUUUACCUUAUGAAGACUAAUGGGAAGGUCAAGGUCACUCGGUAGUGGAUCUGAUUGCGAAGUAGAUCAGGUAUUAGUCUUCGAAAGUAAACUUGAACAACUGCCGGUUUAUUAGAAGGCUGAGUACUAGAAGAAGGAAUGACACCAUCAGAUUGUGCAGUAGAAGGCACAUUAGAGGAGUUCCUACUAUUAGAUGUGAUUCUAUAGAUGAGUCACUCGUUGUCCUCCAACUCACUAGUAGAGGUUUGUGCAGCAGCAAAAAAAAAAAAGAAUUUGCUCAGCAAAGACUACAUCUGUUAAGACCAUAUAUUUGUUGAGCUCUGGAGAGUAACACCGAUAUCCUUUCUGAAGUCGAGAAUAUUCCAAAAAAACACACUUCAAAGUUUUAGAAUCAAGCUUAGUCACAUGAGGUCUGACAUCCCGAAUAUAACAAGUGUUGCCAGAAAGUCGUGGUUCCAGAGAAAAUAUUGGCUUCUUAGGAAAGAGAACAUUAUAGGGAGUCACCAUUUAGUAUUAGGGAGGGUAUGUGAUUAAUGAGGAAGCAUGCAGUAGAGACAACAUCAGCCUAGAAUGGCUUAGGAACUUGCAUUUGAAACAGCAGAGCUCGAGUAGUCUCAAGGAAAUGUCGAUUCUUCCUUUCAACUACUCCAUUUUGAGCGGGUGUAUCAACACAUGACAAUUGGUGAAAAAUACCAUUUUGAGUCAUGUAAACCUGGAAAGAUUCUGACAUAUAUUUACGACACAAAAAAUCAACCUAAUUAGAAAUAUUUACAACACACCAUAUUAGGAAUAUAUACAAUAAAGGUUGAAAAUAAAAUUCUUAUAAUCAACAUAAUUAGAAUUCCAAAAAUCUGCCCAAAUAGUAAUUGAAUCCCCCUAUUCAGGGAUCCUUACGUUGGUCAAUAGCGGUAUCAUAACCUUAAUGUAUAAUUUUGUGAAGACAUAAAAUUGUGUAAUAACAAUAGAAAGAAUUGAUAAACAACAAGAAGAUAAUUAACCAGAACAAACCUAGCAAACGCAUCCAACUGUGCAUGCAAUAAUUUGUUAGAGAUGGUCGAUGACAUUCCCAGAUCUUUUGAUCUAUUGUAAAAUGUGAACUCUGGGCCAAUAGCCUGCUCAAGAAAACAAAUUACUUGCAAAGUUAUGUAAAAUACAAAGAUACAAUAACAAUAUUAAUAUAGACAAUCACCAAAAAGAUCUUGUACUUCUAAGGUUUUUUGCAAUUAUACCUAUACUAUNNNNNNNNNNNNNNNNNNNNNNNNNNNNNNNNNNNNNNNNNNNNNNGUUGCUCUAAAUAUACCCUACUAUUACUUUUGCCGUUGUUAGACAGGUUCAAGAAAAGUUGAUCAAUAAUAACUUUAGUCAAAAUAAGAUAAAGGCAAAUUCUUAUUCAGAAAUUAUUGAUAAUUUUUUUUCUAAAAAAAUAACAAUAAUAAAAAAAGUAAUUUUUAAAUACAUUUAAUAGUGAAAAAGGGUGACUUGACAAUUUCGCUAGUAACGGUGCAUUUGGUCAAACAUUAGAAAGGACAUAGUUUAAUUGGCAAAAAAUGAAAGUAUAGGGUGGACUUACGACAAAAAUAAAAGAUAGCUUUUUUGGCAAUUAACUAUAAACUUUGCUGACAUGGCAUAAUGACAUGGCCUUUACGUGUUGAGUGACGUGGCAAUUCUGUCGACUAUUGAAGAAUUUUGGGAAGAAUUUUUUAAUUGUAUUCCAAUUGAAUAAUCUAUACAAAAUUUGAGUAUUUAUACACACAGAAUCAACCUAAAUUAGAAAUGUUUACAAUAAAAAUAAAAUCCCUUAAUUCAAGCAAUCCCAAAAAUUUGAAUCCUCCUAAUUAGGAACCUUCUAUGUUAGUCAACACUCUUCUUUAAGUUGGUGUAUAGAUAUCACACAUGAUCAACUUGCAAACCAAAGUAUGAGAGGUCUUGUUGCUGAGCCCUUUGUUAAGCAUAUAAGCUAACUGUUCAUCGGAAGUCACAUGAUCUAACCUCAAUACACCAUUUAUUAACUUCUCUUUAACAAAGUGUCGAUCAAUCUCUAUGUACUUCGUUCGGUCAUGUUAAACCGAAUUGUGAGCUAUACUGAUGGCAGCUUUGUUGUCACAGUACAAGAAGAAUUUGUCCCUCUCCAAUAGUUUCAAUUUCUCAAUCAAUCUCUGCAACCAUAGGAGUUCACAAACACCUUGUGUCAUCGCUCUAUAUUCCAUCUUAGCACUUGAUCGAACAACAACACUUUAUUUUUUGCUUCUCUAAGUGACGAGGUUUUCUCCCACAAGUGUACAGUAACCACUAAUCGACCUUCUAUCACCAAGGGAUAUGCAAAGAUGACCGUAUUUAGAGAAUAGGAGACCUUUUCCAGGAGCCGACUUCAAAUAUGAGACUCACGAGGACAACUGACUAAGCUGAAUGCAUAUGCUAUGUCUGAUCGAGUAUGCGAAAGAUAAAUCAGUCUGCCUACCAACCUCUAAUAUCUUCCAAUAUCCACUUAUUCACCAAUCCCUGAUUAUAGCUUGUGAUUGCUUUCAAUGGGAGUUUCUGCCGGUUUGCAACCUAAAAUAUCAGUUUUUUCUAAAAGAUCCAAAAUGUAUUUUCUUUAAGAAAUCAAGAUUCCCUUCUUUAACCUGGUAAUCUCAAUUCCCAGAAAAUAUUGCAGUUUUCUUAGAUCUUUAAUUUUGAACUCCUAAGCCAAAAGUUUUUUCAGCCAAGUCAUCCCUUUAGUGUCAUCCUCUGUCAUUACUAUCAUCAACAUAGACUAUAAAAAGAGUAAUUUCACCCUUGUGAUAUCUGAUAAAUAGGGUAUGGUCAGCAUUGCUCUAUUAAUAGCCAAUGGAAAUCAUAACUCUGCUGAAUCAAUCAAACCAAGCUCUGGAUGACUGCUUCAACCCAUACAAAGCCUUCUUUAGCCUCCACACCUUUACUUGUGUUUUUUCAUCAACAAAUCCAAGAGGGAUUUCUAUAUACACUUCCUCCUCUAAGCCCUUCAUGGAGGAAUGCAUUUUUCACAUCAAAUUGAUGUAGAUCCCAGUCAAGGUUGACACCGCAAGAUAGCAAUACUCUGAUUGAGUUCAUUUUGGCAAGAGCAACAAAUGUUUUUGGGUAAUCCACUCCAUAGGUUUGAGUGUAUCCUUUGGCCACUAGUCUAGCCUUGAAUCUUUCAAUUGAUUCAUCUGCUUUGUGUUUCACAGUGAACACCCAUUUGCAGCCAACAAGUUUCUUCUCAGGUGGGAGAAUGACAAGCUCCCAGGUCUCAUUUUUGGCCAGUGCUUUCAUCUCUUCAAUCAUUGCUCCCUUCCAUUUAUCGGAUAGUGAGACCAAAUGGAUGGUUACAAAAAAGAUCGUACUCCUAUUGUUACUGGUGGGAUAAGAGGUUCUUGUAUGCUUCGCAUAGUCACAAGCAUCAUAAACUAAAUAACCACAUUGAGUCUUGAAAAAUAAAUCAGGAUAAAGUUUCUCUAAAAUAAAAAAGGAUGAGUGUCCUAAUCAUCAAUGCCACUGUAUGAUUUACUUGUUGACAUCUUGAUUUCUUCCAGAAAGUGCCCAAAGUGAAUUCAAACUCAGAUUCUCUUCCAACAUAUAUAAGCUAUCGUAUAAUCUACCAUUGUCAAUCCUCUUUCCAGUUUGAAGAUCUUGAAUAACACAAUAGUCAGAAAAAAAUUCAAUUUUACAGUUAAGUGCUUUGGUGUGAGCACUAACAGAUAAAAGAUUAACAUGGAAAUAAGGAACAUGAAGAACAAAGGAUAGCUUAAUAUUUAGAGUACAAACAAUAGAACCGGUUCCAGAGAUAAGAAUGAAGGAACCAUCGACUAUUCUAACAUUAUCCUUUUGUAGACAUAGAAGAUAGUUAAGGAGGACUUUAGAAGAGCCCGUCAUGUGUCUAUCUGUACCAGAAUCAAUAAUCAAUUGAGCAAAAUCAAUAGAUGAAACAAAAGCAUUAUCAGAGGCCCUUACAUUUUCCACAUUAGUCAAUUUCUUGUCUGCUAUUUCAAGGAGAAGGAAAAACCUAUCCUUUUUUUUUUUCCUUUUUUUUAAACAAGUAUUAUUCAUCAGAGAAGGACCUUUGUGCCAGCGGGUACAUGCCGAAAAAACCAACGACAGUAGCCAGACCAGUGACCUCUAUCGGAUAACGCACCACGUGCCGGCAGAAGGAUGCGCGUGGGACUAACGCAUUGAGAAUGAUGACGCGCAUGUGUGCCUACGUGCUGGAUUUUGGCCACCAGAACUUUUGGAAUGGCCAAUGACGUCACUGCGACUCUUCUAACGCUAGCGGUGAGAGGAAAAGGUGGGCCUAGAUGGGAAAACCCCAAAGAGCAAUAGGUGGCUAGGGUUUGAAGAAAUUUCAGAUGUUGAAAUCUGAAAUUAAACCCAAAAAACAGCCACAAAGGUCUGAUACCAUGAAGAAUUUUGGAAAGAAUUUCUUCUAUUCUAAUUGAAUUGAUCUUUAUAAGGUUUGAAUAUUUAUACAAUAAAAAUAAAAUCCCUUAAAUCAAGUCUAAUUAGGAUUUCAAAAAUUUGAAUCCUCCUAAUUAGAAACCUUCUAUGUUGGUCAAUAACUAUACAAGUAACGGUACGGUGCAUUUGGUCAGACACUAAAAAGAACAUAGUUUAAUUGGUAAAAAAUGAAAGUAUAGAGUGGACUUACAACAAAAAUAAAAGAUAGCUUUUUUUGGCAAUUAACAAUAAACUUUGCUGACAUGGCAUGAUAACUAGGCGUUUACGUGUUGAGUGACAUGACAAUUCUGUUAGUUUCCAACUGUACAAGUAAUGGUAGGAUCUAUUUGAAGCAACUUUAAAAUGUAAAGAUUUAAUUGGCAAAAAAAAAAAUAGUAUACAGCAUAAUCACAACAAACAUGAAGUAUAGGUUUUUUUGGUGAUCGUCUCAUAUUAAUACUAUAUUCAUAGAUAAAAAUUUUAUUGAUGAGAUGUUCAAAAUUGUUUAGUUUCAUUGAAUAUUCUAACACUUGGAUUCCAUAGUCUAAUUAGGAUUCAAAAAUUUGAAUCCUCCUAAUUAGGAACCUUCUAUGUUGGUCAAUAAUUAUACAAGUAACUGUACGGUGCAUUUGGUCAAACACUAAAAAGGACAUAGUUUAAUUGGUAAAAAAUGAAAGUAUAGAGUGGACUUACAACAAAAAUAAAAGAUAGCUUUUUUUGGCAAUUAACUAAACAUUGUUGACAUGGCAUGAUGACACGAUGUUCAAUGCACGAGCCCGUUUAAUUGGUAAAAGAUCACUCAGUAUUUUAUAGAAAUUCUGAUAGUGGAGUAAUUCUGCUUGUAGUAUAUGUGGAUGAUAUCGUUAUUACAGGAAGUGACAUUGCUGGCAUCACAUCCCUAAAAGAAUUUCUUAAAACACAGUUUCAUACAAAGGAUUUGGGUUCUUUAAAAUAUUUCUUGGGAAUCGAAGUCAUGCGGUGUAAGAAAGGCAUCUUCUUAUCACAAAGAAAAUAUGUUCUUGAUUUGUUGGCAGAAACAGGAAAAUUAGGUGCUAAGCCUUGUAAUGCCCUAAUGACCCCUAACCUUCAACUUACCACAGAAGACAGUGAGCCAUUUGCAGAUCCUGGAAGGUAUAGAAGAUUAGUUGGCAAGUUGAAUUAUUUGACGGUGACUCGUCCUGAUAUUGCAUAUUCAGUGAGUGUGGUAAGUCUAUUUAUGUCUUCUCCUACUGUUGCCCAAUGGGAUGCUCUGGGACAGAUUCUUUGUUACCUUAAAGGGGUCCCAGGGCGAGGCCUAUUCUAUGGUAACCAUGGACACUCAAAUAUUGAAUGCUUUUCUGAUGCUGAUUGGGCAAACUCGAAAGUUAAUAGGAGGUCAAUUACUGAGUAUUGUGUUUUUGUGGGAGGUAACUUGGUCUCAUGGAAAAGUAAGAAGCAAAAUGUAGUCUCCCGUUCUAGUGCUGAAUCUGAAUAUCGAGCCAUGGCACAAGCCGUUUGUGAAAUUUUGUGGGUACAUCAACUGUUGGAAGAAGUUGGGUUCACAAAUUCGGUGUAUGCUAAGUUGUGGUGUGAUAAUCAAGCAGCUAUCUACAUUGUCUCCAAUCCAAUAUUUCACGAGAGGACUAAACACAUCAAGAUUGAUUGUCAUUUUGUUCGUGAAAAGGUCCAACAAAAGAUAAUAUCAACAGGACAUAUCCGAACUGGAGAACAAUUAGGAGACAUUUUCACUAAAACUCUAAAUGGGACUCGAGUUGAUUAUAUAUGUAACAAGUUGGGCAUGAUUAACAUUUAUGAUCCAACUUGAGGGGGAGUGUUAUAAGUUAUAGAAAGUAAAUAUGUUAAUAUAGGAAGUAAAUAUUGAUAGAUGGGUCAGUUGCUUAAUCUUAGGGAUUGUAUAAUCAUAGGCUUAAUUUUCAUUCCUGUUUAGAUACCGUCUCUCAUGUAUAAAUAGGUUGUAAUCUCUACUGUGAAAUACAACAAAAAUAUUAUCCUUCUACAAAGCUCUUACUUUUAAAAGUCCUUUAGAGAUGCUACAAGGAAAAAAUGUUUAUACUGUUUCAUCAAAGAUAUUUGAAUGCACGCGUUUUAUUCAUACCAGGACAAGUAGAAGGCUCAAUCCAAAUGCUCUUAAAUGUGUGUUUGUUGGGUACUCUCCUACACAGAAGGGUUACAGCUUACAAGUGUUAUCAUCUUCCAUUUAGAAAAUACUUUGUCAGUACAAAUGUUAGAUUUAGAGAGACUGAAUCUUACUUUAGUAUUACCCAUCACCUCUUUAGAGAGGACAACGAGAGAGAACAGAUGAUUCCUUAUCCUAUAACUUUAGAGCGUUUUACUCUAAGGAGACUACUAUACAGGGAAAACUAUUGGUGAUCAGAAAAAAGUAAUUAGGCGUUUGGAUAAAUAAGAUUAAGGAGAUACUCGAGAAGAGACAACAGAAGCAGAAAAAAGUCAUUGUGCAGCCUACUCAGUGUUGUGAAUUUUUCUCUUCUCCAUCUGGUGAGUCAUCCCUAAACCUUUAGCCCAUUGAUGAUCUAAAUAAAUCAAUUGCUCAAAGAAAAGGCUUUAGGUCUUGCACAAAAUACUCUAUUUCUAACUUUCUCUCUUAUGAUGCUUCGCCUCUGUCCUAUAGAGUCUUUACCUUAUCUAUUUCCUCUUUGUCUAUCCCACAAGAUUGGAAAGAAGCUUUCAAAGAUUCUAAUUGAAAGCGAACAAUAAUUGAAGAAAUGAAACUGUUGCCUAAAAAUGCUAACACUUCAUAAAGGAGAAGAUGGUGGAUGUUCAUUAACAAUUUCUCAUAGGGCUUCAAAGGAAAGUUUUGCCAAAAUAAUUACUAAGGAUCUAUCCAGUAAAAUAUUUCACACUUCAAUUUACAAGUUGGGCAAGUUGGGCAAGUGUAAUAUCCAUAGACCAUCUUGAGGAGAGUGUAGAAAUUCCAUAUUUAGGAAUUAAUUUAGUUUUUGUAUAUAGCUAAUUCCAUGUAAUACAUUGUUACCUUUUUUGUUUAGCUUUCUAUUCUAGGACUAGUUAAUGUAUAUAUAUAAAAGCCCCGUACAGUUUUUUUUUCUUUUUUUUGUUGAGCAUUACUAGAAAAUUAUCUUCAAAAUCUAUAGUUAAGACAAACAAUUUAUAUUCAAAUAUCCAGAAAUUUAUAGAGUUUACAUUAGGACUCAAACUGUGUGCCUGCCACUAUCAUGAAUUGUUUUAGACAUUAGGCAAAGUUUUAAAUAGAAAUUACCAUAGUUGAAAGCAAUUCAACAUAAGUUUCUAAAUUACUUUUUUUUUUAAAUAAACAAGACAAUAAAAAUAUAACCUGAAACUCAAGGACAAUUUCUGUGGAUCUGUCAACUGCCGCAUUUUGAGUUUGUAAACCAUUAAUGCUCCCACUUGAGGAGUCCAUAUUAGAUGCUUCAUCCUCUUCCUCCAAAUGGACCUGAUCAUCCCUUGAAGCAACAUAACUGCUAUUGCUUCCCAGAAAAAUACAAGAAUCUAAAUAUUUCCCAUUCUACAUCACCAAAAUUCAUAACUGGUCAGUAUUUGGCAUGAGAAAAUAAUUAUUCUAAACUCUUACUAAAUGAGAAUAUGGAACAGUUAAUCACACCUUUAUGACGACAUUUUUGAAUUGUAGUUUUUUUCCACUUCCUACAUAUAUAAUAGCUUCCUUGCUAGGCGCAGAAAGAUUAUGUCCCUGUUUAUCUUUUAAGUGCAAAAUUCCACCUUGACCAUCAAAAACGAAAUGGUCAUAUCUUUCCUCGUCAACAAUUAAUGGUGUCAAAGGAGAGAGUGAAACUUCAGCUAGGGAUUGCCUAUAAAUUGACUUGUCCAAAAUAACUGCAUCAACUUCAUGUAAAGGAUUCUUAUUUUCCUCAUUUGACAGCAUACCACCAACUGCUGGAACAAAAAACUCAACAACUGCCAGAAGAAAAUCAAGUGCAACAAGCAAUUGUGGCCUUUGAACACAGAGAGACACGAUAGUUGAGCGUUGACCAAAUUUUGCAUCAAGUAUAAGCAUUGUAGGAGUUGGUUUCAUCUCAGUCUCCGUUUUGAAAUUUGCAUUAGCCACAUUCUGGUUUUCAUGCUCUGCAAUUGCACAAAGGGGACCAUAAUCAAUCUUCUCAGGCUUUCCUAUUGCCAACCUAAAUUCUUCUUCAAUUCCCUCCCUAUCAUCAAUCACAAUGAAAUCCUUAAGUGUUGCCGAGAGAAAACCUUCCCCAAGGUUAUUAGAUUUAUAAAGAAGCCAUCCGCCAGCAACCUGCAUGACAACAAAUUAAAAAAUUAAACCAAAGAAUGCUGCAAAGAACAAUUGAAACUAUGACAAACUUGAUCAUGUGGCAAUAGAUCCUGAAACCAACAAGCUAAGAAUAAAAAGAAAUGAAAUUUAAAAUAUUGGAACACUUGCUUCAAAUAGAUAGCAUCCAAUGGAAACAAUAUUGACCCAGGAUCCAACCUGGAAGUUCUCUUUUCCCUCCCUCAACGUUUCUAACCUCCAAGAAUAGUUAAGCAAAUGAGGCAUACGCACAAGUGUGGUAAUCAUUUUGAUACUUGAUGGAGAGUUCAAUGUGACAGGACUAUACAUACAGAGAAAUAUGAAGAAGUGAAUAGCAAUGAGAUUUAUGAAGGGUAAACAAUGAUAAUUGAACCAUGGCUAAUAUGUGAAUGUCGAUAGCAGGAAAAAAGUACAAAUAAAUUCAACAUUGAUUUUUGGUCCAUAAAAAGGCCUAGAUGCCUUUGGAAUGCUCAAUCCCGAGGUCACUUCCUCUAUCGUAUAACCUCCCACCUCCAAUGCAAGCAAUGCAAAAUAAAGAAACCCUCUGACUUCAUCUUGAUGGACAAAUUAAACCCUUUUCUUAUCAAGGACAAGUUAAUUCUGCUAAUUCAUGUUAGACUAGCAUGCUUUUCUUAUAUAAGAGAACAUUAUUUCUACCAAGCAUCAACUAUCCACAAAAGAUAUUUUAUGUGCUUAUAAAACCAGUAUCAACCCAUCUACUACUGAUGAAAAAUGAUGACAAAAAUAAAGUCAUAAUGAUACCUGGUUUAAAAUCUUCAUAGAUCUUUAUACUUGUUAUGAAAUGCCAUAGCAAAAAGACAGAUUUGUUACAUCCUAAUUUCACAUUUUCUGAGAAGCUUUAAAGUUUCCUAUAUCCUAUUUUGUUUUAUGAUGUGUUUACAUUAGAUUUUUCAAUUUGCAUUUUAGGUUUUAGAUGGUAUAAUACGCAUCUUAUGUACUAAAUUUUUUAAUCAUUUGCAAUUAAUAGAACACAUAUGAUUAUCAAAAAACAAAAUGUAGAUUAUCAUUUGAUAAAAAUAUAAUUUAUAAUUAUUAAUUAUAAUAAUUGUACAACUCGUUAAAUUUGGGCCAGGCCUAACUCACCCCAAAAGCUAGCUCAAGGGGAGGAGUGCCUAUAGCCCAUAUAAGGGGCACAUUACCCUUUUUCACAACCGAUGUGGGAUUCAACACAACCCCUCACGCUCAGAAUUUUUACUGGUGCGUGGCACAUUUAUGGGGCGCCCAACAUCGGAUGGAGAGACUCUGAUACCAUGUUAAAUUUGGGCCAGGCCUAAAUCACCCAAAACCUAGCUCAUAUAAGGAGCACAUUACCCCUUUCCACAACCGAUGUGGGAUUCAACAUUAUCCCAAAAGAUAGUUCAAGGGGUAGGAGUGCCUAUAGCCCAUAUAAGGGGCACAUUACCCCUUUCCACAACCGAUGUGGGAUUCAACACAACUAUUAAAAUUUAGGCCCCCUUUGCAUUUUAUCUUGUGUUCGCCUAUUGAUAAUCCUAAUAAAAUUCAUAAAAAAAAUGAGAGCGAAAACAAGAUGUCUAAAGUCUAAACCAUUAAUAGUGGCAUCAAUUUUCACUGUCAAAACAUAGGAAUUACUUUCUUAUACAUAAAAAGGACAUCAAAUCACGGGUAGUGAAUAGUGAAAGCCAACACCAAUAUCAACUAGGAGUUGAGGGCUCUAUGUCGUAUUAGGCUUAACAAAUCCUACUCCCAUAAGGAAAGUUCACCAGAGGAAAAGAAAGCUUGCAAAAGAGCCCCAAGGUAUGAAGCAAACAAUACCAUGAGGAUGGACCAAGACCAAGUGAAUAAUUAACUGUGAAAGUGUUUCAAAUUUCAAAUUGCAGAAAAGAAAUUUGAAUAUUAAAAUAAUAAGGCAUCCAAAAGGUUAAAGAGAACAUAAGAAUAAAAUAAAACUAAAAAUGACAAUAUAUUGCAUUUUUCAUUCUCAAGGUUAGUAUGGAGAACAAAAUAAAAUUUUAUUUACUAGGAACAAGAAUCUGAAAAAUAAAACUCUCUUAAAUGUGAAACAACAAAAGCAAUUGACAUUUGCAUGACAAAAUUGAACCAAUGGUAUUUUGCCCCCGAAUAAUAAUAAUGACAAUGGCGGACCAAUGUUAACUGACAUGUGUGUGUGUGUGGGUGUGUGUGUGUGAGGGGAGAGAGAGAAAGAGAGAGAGGGGCAAAAACUCAUCUUGAUAUUUAAGAAAAGUGAUAUAGAUUUUAGACAUAUAUCACACGAAAGAAAAUAGAUACAAAUUAAGUAGAGACUAGAGAGAGAGAUUCAAAAAGGUGGUGCAACAAAAACUUAAACAUGUCAUUCAUGAUUUCAAGCAAAGAAUAACUAGUGAAGAACAAUUUAUAUUAAAAACUUGAAAAUGAAUAACUGAAGCAUUACCUGUAUAGUGGCCAGAGAUGCAUCUCUGGCUACCCCCACAUGUAAACUCAACUCAACAAGAUUGAUAAGAACAGAAACUUUCAUGGAAAUCCAUACUUUCCCGUUCUGGGCCUCCAAUUCACCAAUAUUGUCCUGAGAAACAACAGGUUCUACAGCAUCAGCAGAAAAUGCCCCAGAAUCAAGCUCAAGAGGAGGCAGAAGAUGAGGAGUCUCAGACAUAUUAGACAGCGCACAUUCAGUAAUAAUCUGGUACUCCCUAUUAGAUAGAACCGCUUUUAAAUCUUCUAUCUGAUGAAGUACAAUGUUAGAUACAAGUAAGCACUUUUGUCUUUCCAUAAAUUGCAAAUAAUUGUGAAAAAACAGAAAAUAGUCCGAAGGGAUAAAGAAAGUAUGAAAGGAGACAUGGCAUGAAAUUUGAAAUACAACACCUUGAUUGUUGCUUCUACAAUUGGUAUUUGAUGCAACAAGUCUCUAAGUGACCUUCGAAUGCCAAUGGAAACCCCCUUGACAUCUUGAAUUAUGCUUUCACCUAAUUCUGUCCCAAUACCGACAUUUAAAUUGAUGUCCUCAACCUAUAACUCAAAGAAGGAAAAAACAAAAUAAACAACAACAACAACAACUAAGCCUUAAUUCCAAAUUAAUUGGGUCUAUAAGUCUAUAGGAUAAAAUGCCAAACAGUGAUGGUGAGCGUUAAGUGUAUGAAAUCAGAACAAACAAUAAAUCUCUUCCUUGGAUCCACCAAUAAACAAGGCUGGAUAGCAAAUUUCAAUUUUACUAUGAUGAAAUAAAUAAAUUUGAGAGCAUAUUUGUGUAAUUCUCACUGAUAAGAUUUUUGUUACAUGUCUGCUAUUUAUAUACUAUUAUAGAAAGUCAACCUUGUAGACACUUUUACCUAUUUUAGAGAUCAUAUUCCUGUUGGAAAACUCACUCGGUCCUUAAACUAUUGUCUUUUGUUAGAAAACUCACGCGGUCCAUAUGCUAUUCUGUCUUGUCUUUUUUUUUCUCUAGCUAUUGUUUGUUUCAGAUCUUCCAACAAAGCAGUUUAUCAAUAGAGAAUGAGAGUCUGGUGACCUCUACAUCGUUGUUAGACAAGCACCUCAAUAUCUUACUUGCUGCUUUGCUUUAACUCCUCUUGACAUCCACUACAGAUUGGGUCAUCCCGCCUUGCCUACUUUGAAUAAAUUGUAUCCUCAGUAUUAAUCUCUGUCUAUCCUAAAAUAUGUUGUGUAUCAAUUUGCCAAGCAUCACCGUUUACCUUCUUUGCUUAGAGUUAAUAAGCGAGCUUUAUCCCCCUUUUGAGUUAGUUCACUCUGAUAUAUGGGUGAUAGAGCAUAAUUUAAUCCAUUUUAUAUUAAUAUUAUUGAUGAAUAUUUAUAUGAUUUCUGCUUAAUUUAGUGCUUUUAAUAUUAUUUUGCAGAAAAUAGUGUAAAAUGACAAUUUGGAGAAAAUCCCCUUAAAACUGCCUUAUUUGGAGCCAAGAAAUAAUUGGGCAGCUAAGGACACUUGAUCCAUGGACCCACACUUGGGCCCGCACAUGGACAGCCCAUGGGCCAAGCGCAUGGCCACCACUUCACUAUUUCCGCACGACCUUGCACUCGCGGCCCAUUUCAGCACGUUCACUCACACAAUGGACCAAUCUUCACAUGGCCCGCCACUCACGCACCGUCCACCACGCACAUGGGAUCCGCACGAAGCCACUGCACCACAAUCAAUUCACGCGGGCCAAAGCUCUCUGCACGUGGACCGCUUCAUCCACUCACGCACAUUCAGACACGCGGAAAGCCCACUUCACACGGACCCGCGCAUUCCUUCACGAUGGCCCAUUUCCACCUUGCACUCACGCAUAUGGACCCGCACAAUCAAUUCACACAGCACGUGGACCAAGCCUCCGCAGACCCGCUUAUGGCCCGCUCUUUCUUUGCACAUGGGCCCGCACACUCAACUCACACACACGGGCAGCAACGCUCACAGCCAAGGGACACACGCGUGCGCGGACAGAAAUUUCCUAAUUAGGGGCACUCCUCUACACCUAUUUAAAGGCUCUUCAGUGAACGAUUACAUAGAAUUCAAUACUCGGCAAUUCCGCAAGUUCGGCGCAGCUCUCUUCGGUUCUUCUUUCUUUCUUUUUCUUUUAUUUUUUUAUUUUUAAUUCAGCCAAUGAGUGGCUGAUUUUUUUCAUCUAGUUGAAUAUUGGUUGAAACUUUAGUUGUUUAAUGGGUUGUGAGACUUAAUCAAAUAUUGUUUAAUUUUGGGAAUUCAAUAUUCAUGCAAUUUCAUAUUUAAUUCUCAUAUUAUUUUGUUAUUGAAAUCUACGUUGAUUUUUUAUUGCAAAAUAAUUAUUUGUUAGUUUGAAUAAUUUAAGUCCGUAAUUACUUGGGUUAUUCUUACAUGAGAACACUUGGGAUAAAACCCAAGGAAAUUGUUUGAUCUAGCGUUAUCUCCAUACGUUUGGGUAACUAGGAUUGGAUCUCUCUAUUUCUUAAUGCAAUUGACAAUUGUUUUGAUGCCUAAGGCCCAAGGACGUUCCUUGGCAAUUUGUUAAUUAGUAAUUAAUUAGAGGACGUUCCCUAAUUGGUUUAAUCAUAAGGAGAGAUAAUGGUGGUGAGAAGCGUCUUCCAUCCCCAUAACUAAUCUAUUGAAUCAACCCAAAAGAACAAAGUGUCUGUGAUCAAUCCCAAUGAUUAAAGUGGAUCCAAUACUUCAACUAGAGCUUUCUUAUUAUUUAUUUCUCUUUUAUUUUAUUAUUCGCUUAUUUUAAUUGUUUUUAGUAGUUUAUUAAUCAAAUCAAUCUCAAACCCCCCCAUUUUACUUUUACUGCAAUUUAUUUUUAUUCCGCUUUCAGUUUAUCUCAUUUUUGGUUUAUCUCAUUGUUUCAGUUUAUUUUAUUGGUCUUGUUGAGAAAAAUAAAUAGGUAAUCAAUUCUCUGUGGAUUCGAUCCUUCACCACUAUCUGCAGUUGUAAAUUGUUGAUAACCAAGAAGGUUAUUUUUGACCGGCUUCGACAACCGCGAGUCAAUGGGCCCCCAUUUUGUUAGUUCUAAAGCUGGGUUUAGAUAUUUGUCACUUUUAUGGACCAUUAUUCGUGUUAGGUUUAGAAUAAUAAAAAAUAGAGAAAAAUAAAACCUUUGAUGAAAAGAAGAAAAAGAAGGCAGAAGAUUUGAGAGAAAAUACAUGAUUAUUCCCUUCAAGCCAAUUGGGGUAUAUAUACUACUUACAAGAGUACAUAUAAUAAAUUAAUUCCCUAAUUAUAGUCUAAUCAUAUUUCAAUCAUAUCACACAAUCAUAUCCCUAAUUAUCACUACAAAUCUAGACUAUUUAUAAAAAUAAUCUCAACAAGGAAAAUAACACAAUAUGAUUUACGUGGUUCGGCCGUUCAACUAUGAGAGCCUACGUCCACGGACACAACCUCAAAGGGCUACAUCUUUACUGACUUACAUUUUGUCUCCCUAUAAUACAAAGGCUUCCCUAUUUAUAACGGAGGCUUCCUUGUUCUGCUUCAGCACUUGACCGAGCAACAACACUUUGUUUUUUAUUCCUCCAGGUGAUAAAGUUCCCUCCCAUAACUAUACAGUAGCCAGAGGUGGAUCUCCUAUCAUCGAGAGAUCCAGACCAACCUGCAUCUGUAAAAGCUUCAAAUUGGAGGUGACUAUAUUUAGAGUAAAGCAGCCCUUUCCUUAUGCAAGCUUUAGGUAUCUCAAGAUGUGAAGGACAACCUGCAUAUGAAUCUCGCCGGAGGUCAUGAAUGAUAUUGCUGACUAAGCAACAACAUAGGCUAUAUUUGGUUGAGUGUAUGAGAUAAAUCAACAUUCCUACCAAUUAUUGGUAUUUUCCAAUAUCCACAGACUCACUAGUUCCUGUUUGCAUCUUGUGAUUACUUUCAAUGAAAAAUUCUGUUGGUUUACACCCAAUAUACAUCUAGAAUGUACUUUUUUUUGAGAUAUAAAGAUUCCUUUUUCUGAUCUAGCCACCUCAAUACCUAGAAAAGAUUGAAUUUUUUCUAGAUCUUUGAUUUCAAAUUCUUGAGCCAACAAUCUUUUUAAUUGAGCCAUUUUCUCUUUAUCAUCACCUAUCACCACUAUAUUAUCAACAUACACAAUAAGAAAGUGAUCUUACAACAUACACAAUAAGAAAGUGAUCUUACCUUUAUGAUUUUGAAUAAAUAGAGUGUGAUCAGCAUUGCUCUAUCAGUAAUCAAAGAACAUCAUGGAUCUGCUAAACCUAUCAAACAACUCAAACCAAGCUCUAGGAGAUUGUUCUAGCCUAUACAAAGCCUUUUUUAACCCGCACAUCUUUUCUUGUAUUUUCUCAUUAGUGAACCUAGAAAGGAUCUCCAUGAACACUUCUUUUUCUAAAUCUCCAUAGAGAAAUACAUUCUUCACAUCAAACUGCUGAAAGUCCCAGUCCAAGUUGACUGUACAAGAUAAUAGGACUCUGAUUGAGUUCAUUUUUGCAACUGACGCAAAUGCCUCUUUAUAAUCUACUCCAUAGAUUUGAGUGAAUCCUUUAGCAACCAAUCUGGCCUUAAAUUGUUUAAUUGAGCCAUUAGCUUUGUGAAUACCCACUUACAGCCAACAAGUUUAUUCGCUAGUGGGAGAGUGACAAGCUCUCAUGUCUCAUUUUUGGCCGGUGCUUUAUCUCUUCAAUAUUGCUCCCUUCUAUUUAGGAUCUACAAGAACUUCCUUCUAAUCCUACGAAUAAACACAGAGAAAAUAGAUAAGGCAAAGGCUCUAUAAGAGGGGACAAUACCUUUUUUUUGUGUAAUAGUUUUAUCUAAAUCAUUGGAGCAUUCAAGAGUUGUAUGUAACUCAUCAAAAAAAUAUUCUUGACUUUAAGUAGACUGCAUAAUGACUUUUUCUGCCUUGUCUCUCCUCGAAUACCUUCUCAAAUCUGGCUUGUCCAAACGUUCAAUUCUCUCCCCUGAUUGGACAUUUCCACCUGUCUACUAAAACUCGCUCUCUGAACUAUAUCAUUCAGAAUCAGAGAAUUCGGGAUCACCUUUUCCUACUCAUUAUUCUCCCUCUGAAGAAGUGAGUGGGUGGAUACCAAAUAAAAUUCAGUUUCUCAGAAAGUAACAUCCAUACAAACAGUAUUUUCUAAAUAGAGGAUGAUAACACCUGUAUCCCUUUUGUGUCGAAGAAUACCCGGCAAACACAUAUUUAAGGGCCUUGGGGUCCAACUUUCCAACCGUCCUAGUAUGGACAAAACAAAACCCAAAUACUUUUGGAGGAACAAUGUAUGAAUUCCUUCCUUGUAGAACCUCCAAAAGGACUCAUAAAAUCAAGGGGCUUGAGGGGCAUUCUAUUGAUAAUAUAAACAAAUAUAAAGACUGCAUUUUCCCAGUAUGCUUUGAGUAGGUCCAUGGUGAACCUAAGAGAUCGAGCUACCUCCAAUAGAUACCUAUUUUUCCAUUCAGCAAUGCCAUUUUGUGCACUAGUAUAAGGACAAUUUGUCUGGUAUACUAUCCCAUUAGACUCCAAAUAAGCAGAAAACCUAUUGUCCAUAUAUUCUCUUCCAUUGUCAGUUCUCAAAAUUUUCACCUUAAUAUAAAAUUGAGUUCAAAUCAUCUUGUGAAAGGAAUGAAAACAAAAAAAAACAAAAAAAAAUAAAAAAAAUAAAAAAAAACAUCACUUUUAACUUUAAUCAAACAAACUAAGCACACUGAGAUUGAUUAUUACUUAGAUAAAAAAAAGCUUCAAUAAGAGAUUAUCUUAAUCGAGCACAUCAAAACUUAAGACAGUUAGGAGAUAUUUUCACUCACAUAAGCUCUAAAUGGAGCUCAUGUAGACCAUAUUUGUAACAAGUAUGAUCAACAUCUAUACUCCAACUCGAAGGGGAGUGCUAUAGAAAGUCAACCUUGUAUAUACGUUUCCCUACUUCAGAAACCGUGUUCCUGUUUAGUUAGAAUAAUAAUUAGGUAUGAUCAUAGGGAUUAUGUUCCUAUUUUAAUUACCAUAAACGUGUUAUAUAUCUGUACCAGAUGAUUGUGUAAAACAAUAAAGUAAUUCCAUGAACACAUAAGUAAUAUACCCAAGAUUGGAAACUAAAAUAAUAGGAGAUAGUAAUAAAAAUAAGAAUAGUAAAAAAUAUACAAAUAAAUCUCCUAACAAUCUGCUAUCACUUCAGUUAUGAGAUUCCAGCAAAUUAAGGGAUUUCAACAUGCUGCUAAAAUUCUCACCUGAAUCAUUAGCAAUUCCAAAUGGACAGCACUCAUCUCACUCUUGUCACCAUAAAACCAAUGGAAGGUGUUCUGCACAGUUAUUUGAACCACAUCCAGCUUCAAGUAGCUGUGAUAAAAACAAUUUAACAAUGUGUCAUAGACAUUGUGGCAAAGCAUAAACUUUCUUAAGCCUAAAUGUCAACUUACUCAGGACUAUCUGUUCUUCUAGGCAUCAAUAUUAUUGGCUUCCUAAGUGAAAUGUCCAACUUCAGAGCAGGUGAUCCUUCAAUUUCACUGGUUGUAAAUGACUUCCCAGAAUUUGUCACUUGAUCAUUUAAUUUAACAAGACCCUUUGAAUUGUUGGGAGAUAGACCCAUAAAGUAACUAACAAUCUGCAUAUCAAAAGUUGACAAUACAUGAGAAGUGAAAUAUAACCAUGUAAAAUGGUUAAAAUGCUUAAAGUUGAUUUACCUCCUGCACGAAUCGAUUCAAAUAGACAAUGCGCACUUCUGAAAGCUGGCCAAAAAGGCUAUAUUCAUAACCUUCAUAGUCUCCGUCAUCAACACUAAAUGAAGCAAAAACCAGCUGCAUAAUAACAAGUUAAGGCUCGUAACCACAACAUAAAAAGAUAAGUAUAUAUACAACAGUUAAAAUACGAGAAAAUAGAAAAUGUUGAAAACCAGCAUCAAAAAGAAAUACAGAAAUCAGAGCACUACAGGCAUACAGUAUUAAACUACAAAGUAACAUAUCAACAAUUGAAAAUCUCGAGAAAACCAAAUACUAUUUUCCUUUGUUGUAACUUGUAAGUUGUAAGAGAAGCACAACAUAAAAGAAAUAAUAAAAAAAAAAAAAAGAAAACAGAGCAAUACACACCUCAACAAAUGAGCUUCCCCCUGGAUUUCUCAUAUCACAGAUCCAGAAAUAUGCAUGGUUGCUAGGAAGACUCUCAUCACUUAUUCUUAGAUUUCCCAGAGCUGCUUUUAUACUAAAAGAGCUUGGAAAUACCUUAUUUAAACAAAAAUUAACAAGCAUAAACAGAUAGUAUCAUUCUAAACAAAAAGAACACUAAGGAAAGGGAAAAAACUGAAGCAAACCUUGAUAUCUGUAAGUAAAUUAUCUUGGGACAAAGACGCUAACUUAGUUUCAUUUUCAUUCAUCAACAUAAUCUGAGCACGGGCCAUAUUCAACACUAUAUUGAAAAUAAUUCUAGAUUUUCCCUUCCCCAGCAAACCCUUAACAACAGGGUCCUCGAUCGUUGACAAAUUUUGGUCAUCAACCACUCCUCUAAUAUCGUCAUGCUCAACCAUCAAUGCUGAAUAAUUACCACUGCCAGAUUCACUAUUUCCUUCUUCAACACUAAUAGCAUUGACAAACUCCAUGAUGGCAAGAAUUGUGGGUCUGCGGCAGAAAAAUGACAAAGUAGCUAGCAUCACUGAUACCUGAAAUCACCAUUUACAAAUUAGUCGGUCCAUUAGCCAACCAAAUGGACUGAAAGCAAACACUCUACCAGAGAAAACUAAUCAACCUGCAUGUCAAUAUUAUUAUAUAGAGAAGAGUUCUGGUCGUAGAUAAUUAUCUGAGCUUUCACAAAACUAUCUAAGGUAUCAGUUAGUUCAACAUCCUCCAUGCGAUUUUGAACAGUAUCAACAGGUAGUAAGCCACUGAUUCGAGUAAAAGUGGGAAGCUUCAACAAGGCAUCUUCGAAUGGAUGUGAAAUUGGGGAAGCCAAACACUCAGGAUCAACCAAAUCCUCUGAUGCUUCGUAGAACUUGUCCUCACCUUCACUAGGUGUGACAUUAUUGUUGUUAAAGCUCUUACUCCCAGCCUGUUCAAGUGAUGACGAAUGCUCUUCACUUCGGAUGAAUGAUCUUGCUAGGAAAGAAGACCGAGAAAUGCCAUUGCAACAAACUAAAUCUUCAAUCUCCAAAGAUUUCAAAACAGUGCCAAUGAACAUGUCAUUUUCUCUAAUUGACAACUCAACCUGUGUUAAAAAAAAAUACCAUAAUGAGAAAAAGAAAAUGCAUGAGUGAACUGAACUGUCAUUCAGUAUCAUUUGUACCUGGCCACCAAUUGCUCGAAAUUCAAAUAAAGGAAUCUCUUCAGAAAGAAGCACCUUUAGAAAACUCAGGUCAUGCUAGCAAAAGCAGCAGAUAUAUAAGAUUUCAAGUUCUUCCAUCGAAAAGGAACAUAAGAACACAUGUUCUCCAGGCUUUACCUGACGAUUGUAAUUGAAGCAAAACUUUAGUUCAUCAAGAACUCCUGUUAAAAAAACACGUUCCAUCUCCAAUGCAUCACUUGUAUCAGUGUUGCUAUUGAGUCCCAUUUCUGAGCUCUCGGAAUCUGAUGAAGUUUCAGAAAGACCAGUAAUAGGUGCUGAACCCUGUGUAGAAAUCCAUGGGUAAGAUCUUUGAUUAUGCCUUCAAAAUGAAACAUUUUGCCACAAACCCUCCAUAAGCACAGAAAUUGUUGUAAUUUUUUACACAUUUCCUGCGCAUUUUUGCUUAAGAUUACUCUUUAGUUUUAUAAUAACUUAUAAACUGAUUAUUGAAUUGUUUAUCAAAGCACAAACAAAAUGAUCUAUAACCUUCUUCCGGUAUUUCUACCAAUAAUUUCUUUAUCUUCUACGUGAAAAUUUCCUGAAAAUGAUAUUUUUAGAAAAACUUAUUAAACCAUUGAUUUAACUACUUCUGUGAAUAAAAUAUUUUACAAAUAAUUAGUUUAUGUUUCUUAAAUGUAAAGGACUAAUUAAAUCAAUUUUAGAAAUUGAAUCAACUAAAACAACAGAAAUUAAACAAGCUUAUGAAGAAAGGAAUAGCAACGAAAAGAUACGUGAAGAAUUUUAGAGUAUUAUUGUAUUUCACUCUUGAUCUUUACAAGUAAUUUAUAUAAUUAUUUAUACACAAAAAAUUACAAGCAAAUAAUAAAAGAAUAAUUAAGGAUCCUAAUUUAUGGCUAGAAUCCAUAAUCAGAUCAGAUCAUAUCAUUAGAAUCAGCAAAUAAGUCAACACUCCCCUCAAGUUGGUGCAUAAAUGUCGCACAUGCCUAACUUGCAAAUUAAAUUAUUGUAGAUCUAUUGUUGAGCCCUUUAGUGAACACAUCUGCAAGUUGCACAGUAGAAGUCACAUGAACUAAACUCAAGACACCGUUUAUUAAUUUUUCUUUAAUGAAAUGUCGAUCAAUCUCAAUGUGCUUCGUUCAGACAUGUUGAACCGGAUUUUGUGCUAUACUGAUGGCAGCUUUGUUGUCACAAUACAAAGUUAUCUUGUCUCUCGAGCAACCUCAACUCCUACAAUAACUUCUGCAACCAUAAAAGUUUACACCUUGGGCCAUUGCUUUGUAUUCUGCUUCAGCACUUGACUGAGCUAAUAACACUUUAUUUUUUGCUCCUACAGGUGACAAGGUUCCCUUUUACAACUGUGCAGUAGCUAGAGGUAGAUCUCCUGUCAUCGAGAGAUCCUACUCAAUCUGCAUCUGUAAAAGUUUCAACUCAAAGGUGACCAUAUAUGGAGUAAAGAAGCCCUUUCCCUGGCGUAGACUUCAAGUAUCUCAAGGUGCGAGGGACAGCUGCAUAUUAGUCUCGCAAGGGUCAUACAUGAAUUGGCUGAGAGAUAAAUCAACCUCCCUACCAAUCAUUGGUAUCUUCCAAUAUUCACAGACUCAUCAGUUCCUGCUUGCAUCUUAUGAUUACUUUCAAUGGGAGAUUCUGCUAGUUUACACUCCAACAUACCAGUAUCUUCCAAAAAGUCCAUAAUAAAUUUUUUUUAGAAGAUAAAGAUUCCUUUUUUUAAACUAGCCACCACAAAACCUAAGAAAUAUUGAAACUUUUUAGAUCUUUGAUUUCAAAUUCUUGAGCCAAUAACCUUUUUAGUUAAGCCACUUCCUCAUUGUCAUCAACAUACACAAUAGAAAGAGUGAUCUUACCCUUGUGAUGUUUAAUAAACAGAGUAUGAUCAACAUUGCUCUGUUAGUAACCACAAGACAUCAUGGUUCUACUAAACCUGUCAAACCAAACUCUAGGAGAUUGUUUUAACUCAUACAAAGCAUUUUUUAAUAUGCACACCUCUCCUUCUAUUUUCUCAUCAGCGAUCCCAAGAGGAAUCUCCAUGAACACUUCUUCCUCUAAAUCCCCAAGAAAGAAAGCAUUCUUCACAUUAAACUGCUAUAAGUCCCAAUCCAAGUUGGCUACACAAGAUAAUAGGACUCUGAUUGAGUUCAUUUUUACAACUGGGCAAAUAUUUCUUGAUAAUCCACUCCAUGGGUUUGGAUAAACCUUUCAGCAACCAAUCUGGGCUUAAACUGUUCAAUUGUGCCAUCAACUUUACACCCAACAAGUUUCUUUCCAGGUGGGAGAGUAACAAGCUCCCAAGUCUCAUUUUUUACCAGUACUUUCAUCUCAUCAAUAAUUGCUCCCUUCCAUUUAGGAUCUACAAGAGCUUCCUCUCAAUCCUGUGGAAUAGAUACAGAGGAAAUAGAUAAAGAAAAGGUUUUAUAGGAGGGAGACAAAGAUUCAUAAGAAAUAGAGUGUUUAUACAAGAUCUGACACAUUUUCUUUGUGCAAUAGGUUCAUCUAAAUUAUUAAAGCAUUCAAGAGUUGUGGGUAACUCACCAGAAGAAGAUUCUUCUUCUGCCUUGUCUCUCCUCGUAUACCUCCUCAAAUCUGGUUUGUCCAGACGUCCAAUUCUCCCAUCUGAUCGGAUAUCUCUCCCUGUCUACUAGAACUAUCUCUCGAAACCAUGUCAUUUAGAAUAAUAGAAUUCGGGAUCACCUCUUCUUUCUCAUUAUUCUCCUCUUGAAGAGGUGAGUGGGUGGUACUAAAGUAGGGUCAGUUUCUCGAAAGGUAACAUCCAUACUGACAAAGUAUUUUCUAGAUAGAGAAUGAUAACACCUGUAUCCCUUCUGUGUCGAAAGAUACCCAACAAACACACAUUUAAGGGCCUUGGGAUCCAAUUUUCUCGCCGUCCUAGUAUGGACAAAGCAAAUACACUCAGAUACUUUUGGUGGAACAAUACAUGAAUUCCUUCCUUGUAGAACCUCCAAAGGACUCAUGAAAUCAAGAGCUUUGAGGGGCAUUCUAUUGAUAAGAUAAGCAGAUACAAGGACUGCUCUUCCAUUGUCAAUUCUCAAAAUUUUUACCUUAAUAUCAAAUUGAGUACAAAACAUCUUGUGAAAGGAUUAAAAACAAGAAAAAACAUCACUUUUUGCUUUAAUCAAAUAGACCCAAGUCAUUCAAAUGCAACAAUCAAUAAAGGUGACAAACCAUUGAUACCAAACAAGGAGAUAGUUUGAUUAGGCCCCCAAACAUCAUAAUAAAGUCAUAAAAGGAAUUUGGCUUUUAUUAUGACUUAAAAGAUAGGAGGUUUUAGUGUAAUUAGCAUACUCACAAGUAUCACAAAAUAAAGAAUCAAACUAAGUUCUAGUAAACAAAUUAGGAUAAACUUUUUCUAAGAUAAAAAAUGGAUGCCUUAACCGCCUGUAUCACUGUAAUAUUUCCUGAUUGACAUUCUUAUUUUCUCCAAAACAGGCUUGAGAUAUCGGAGAACCUGGAUCACCGUCCAAUAUGUAUAAGCCAUCACGCAAUCUACCAUUGCCAAUCCUCUUCCCGGUGAGAAAAUCCUAAAUAACAUAAUGAUCAAGAAAAAACUCAAUUUUAUAGUUAGAAGCAUUAGUGAUAGCACUGACAGAUAAAAGGUUGACAGGAAAUUGAAAACUCGAAGGAUAGAUGAUAAUUUAAUAUCGAACGCACAAAUAACAGAACCUAUUCCGAAUAUGGGAUUAAAAGAGUCAUCAGCAAUUCUGAAACUGCAUUUGCUUAGGGAAAGAAAAUAAUUAAAAAAGCCUUUAGAAGAGCCUGUCAUGUGUCUAUUCGCACCAGAAUCAAUAAUCCAUGUAACAGUUUCAAGAGAAAAAGCAUUACCUGACUUUACAAAGUUAAAUGUAACACCAGACUCCAAGGGAGGAAGAGGUGUCAAUAUGAGACACGAAGCGCUUCAGACCCUUAAUUUCAUUAGAGGAAAGAAACUCAGCAGUUGUUGUCUCCUUAAAGGGCUCCUCCACACGUCUGCUAAAUUAGCUUGAGCUCUAGAGGUACCUCGUUGUUUCCUCCACGGCCUCUAGUGGGACGACCAUAUAACUUCUAGCAAGUCUUCUUGGUAUGCCUCAGUUUCCCAUAAUAGUCACAAUGAUUGUGAUCUUUCUUAGAAUUAGGAGGCUGCGGGUGCUCAAAUUAGUAGACAACCCAGCCUUUUCAACUGGUGCGGUGCAGUAUAGAGCAUAGCAUGUCGGCAACUUUCCUCCUGUUGAACAUGCACAUGGGCCUCUUCCAAAAAANNNNNNNNNNNNNNNNNNNAAAAAAAAAAAAAGAUUUUUCCCCAACACUUAGACCCGAAUUGAAUCAUAUUCAUUAUUCAACCCUGCAAGAAAAUCAUAGACCCGCUCCCUUUCAAUCAUUUUCCAAAAUUUGACUGCAUCUCCAGCAUAGUUUGCAUCUCCAGUACAGUCUGCAUCUCCAGUACAAUCUGCCUGGAAGUCCUGAUAGUAAUCAAGCUCCUGCCAUAAGCCACAUAACUCAGAAUAAAAUUGCAAGAUAGUCAUUUCUCCUUGCUUAGUACCAUGGAUCUUAUUUCGAAUAUCAUAAAUUUGGGUAUCAUUCCCAAUCUUGGAAUAAGUUAAGGAUAAAGCCUUCCAUAUUUUUGCACUAGUAUCAAUUAACAAACAGGACUUAAAGAUAUGUGGUUGCAUAGAGUUAAGUAAUCAUGUCAUAACAAGACAAUUAUCUAAUUCCCAUUGAAAAAAAUUUGGAUCCCUCUCGUCCGGUUGCUUCUUAUUACCAGUGAUAUAGCUAUGCAGUCCUCUAGCCUUGAUAAACAACAAACAAGACCUUGACCAAGGAAGAUAAUUGAUUCCAUCAAGUUUUACGAGACUAAUUUGCAAGGAAAGAUUAUCAGAGUUAGGAAUCGAGACCUUUUUGCCUUCUGCCCAUGGUAAAAAUAAAUGAACCGUGAAAGAAUAGAAAAUACCUAAGGUUGUACACACAAGAGAGCCAAUCGAAUUACCAAAAGACCAAGUAGCAGCACCGGAUGGUUGGAAAGAGGAUCGAAAUUGGUACCAGAGUGAUCGGAGCGGCGAAGCAGCAUCAGACAGAUCUCACACCCUAGGAAGGAGGGCGCGUGAGCCUCAUGCGCAUGGCUUUCCAGCGUCAAAGCGGGUGGUCUGUCCGGCAAUGAUCCAGCGGUUCUCUUGGUGGCGACAGUAAGAUGUGAAAAGAUCCUCUAGAUAGAGUAGUAUCAAAAAGAUAGAUCUAAGGUUUUAGAAACCCUAAAGAAGAAAAUUUGAAUGUAAACCCUAAAAUCAAAAAAAUAUUGUGAUACCAUGAAGAAUUUUGGAGAAUUUUAGAGUAUUUCUAUAUUUCACACUUCAUCUUUACAAGUGAUUUACAUGACUAUUCAUACACAAAACAUUACAACUAAUAAGAAGCAAAUAAUCAAAAAAUAAUUAUAGACAUAAUUAAGGAUCCUAAUUUAUGUCUAGAAUCCGUAAUCAAAUCAAAUCAUAUCACUGGAAUCAGCAAAUAAGUCAACAAUAAGUUAACUAUAAUAAAGGACAACAAAAAUUAGGAACAAAUCACUUCAUAAUUUUUAGAUGGUAAAAACAAGAAAGAGAACCCUAGGGGACAGUGCAAGCCAAUUUUAAAAGAAAUAUAUCCUUUUCAACCUUUUUUGCUCUAUUAGUCAAUAGACUACAAAAUCUUUUAAGAUUAUAUACAAAUACAAUUGUUGACCAACAUAAAGGAUUCCUAAUGUUUAGGCAGAUUUUUGGAUUCUAAUUAUGCUUGAUUAUAGGAAUUUUAUUUCCUACCUUUAUUAUAGAUAUUCCUAAUUAGGUGUGUUAUAAAUAUUUCUAAUUAGGUUGAUUUUGUGUAUAAAUAGCCAAACAUUGUAAAGAUCAAUUCAAUUGUAACAUUAAAAAAAAAAUUCCUCUCAAAAUUCUACAUGGUAUUAGAGCAUAAGCCUAAUUUAGGGUUGUAAUUCAAUUUUAAAUUUUCAAAAUCUUAAGCAAUCAAAUUUGGUACUCUCCGGUCUAAGCCUAUUUUCUUUCAUCACCGCCACUUCCCAUCGAGUCGCAGCCUUCUCGAAGGUUGUCCGCCAGUCUCCGGUGAGCUGUCCACCAGUCUCUGGUGAGCCAUCCGCUAGCGCACGAGUCUCACGCGCCACCCAUUGCCAGCGCGUGAGACUGUUUCUAGCAAGGAUCUUCACGUCUAUUCGCCGUUGUUGACUCUGGACUCCUGUUUCCGGCCUUCUGCUGUUGUUUCUUGCUCUGUUGAUUUGUUGCUGUGGGCAGACUCUUUAUCGUUGUUUUGGAUAUUCCUUUUGCUUUGUUGCUGCUGUUUACUGCGCUAGAAGCAUAAAGAAUUUCUUGUGGAGUUGGGUGUUGAUUGGGUAUUUGUUUUAGUUGGACAAUCUCUUUCCCGUGAUGGGUUUGUUGUUUUUCUAAUAUGUCGUCUCUUGAUGCUACUCCAUAGAUUAUUGAUUUCGGUGCAAAUAGACAUAUGAUAGACUCCUCUAUAAGCUUCCUUAAUUACCUUCCAUAUCCAUAAAUUUGACCAUUUGACGUAGCUUAGAUGGUAAAAACAAGAAAGAGAACCCUAUGGGACACUGCAAGCCAAUUUUAAAAGAAAUAGAUCCUUUUCAACCUUUUCUGCUCUAUUAGUCAACAGACUGCAAAAUCUUUUAAGAUUAUAUACAAGUACAAUUGUUGACCAACAUAGAGGAUUCCUAAUUAGGAAGAUUCAAUCACUGUUUGGGCAGAUUUUUGGGAUUCUAAUUAUGCUUGAUUAUAAGGAUUUUAUUUCCUACCUUUAUUGUAGGUAUUACUAGUUGUGUUGUAAAUAUUUUUAAUUAGGUUAAUUCUUUGUGUGUAACUACCCAAACAUUGUAAAGAUUAAUUCAAUUGGAAUAUAAUAAAAAAUUUCUCCCAAAAUUCUACAACAAUACUAACUAAAAGUCAAGUAUGAUAUUGAAGGAUUUACUGAAGCACUAUAUAUAGCCCUCUGCAGGCGGCUUUGCCAAUUUCUCCGUGAAUCACCAGAAUCACAUAGCAGUAUUACUGAAUUCACAUCUUCUACAACCUACACACAAAUUCAAUAUGAAAAUGAGAUGAUGUUUAAGGAGAUAAUUCAAAUAUGAAUGGCCACUCUGGGAACUAAAAGGAUGACAAGAUACAAACACAACAAGUGCAACCUUGUUAACAGGACGUCCAGUAUCACAGAUGGCCAAUACAUGAUGCAUACCACCAACCAAUUCAGCUGGAAGUUGAUAUAAUUGUUUUCCUCGCAAACUACAGCAAGCAUAUGAAUAAACCCAAUCAAUAAAAAACCAUUAAACCUUCCAUAAUUCAUAGAAGUACACAACUCAACCAAUAGAACAUAUAUCUGAAACUCUGGGUUCUGCUGUACAAUUUUCCAUGCAAAUUUUUUAGCACUUACCACAUCGAGACCUGCAAGAAUUCUUGACAUUUUUCCUUUUUUUUUUUUUUUGUUGUUGCACAAAGUUAACAAAGAAAACUUGUUAAACACUUUACUCCAUGCAGUAAAGCUAUGUCAACCAAAGGCAACCCCACUUUCUUGAGGCUUGAAACUUGAAAGUUGAAACAGAACAUAAUCCAUAUAUCAGAAUUUCCUUCCAAAUAAGCUGCAACUUGAAUUGCACAAUGUUGUUUUUUUCACAACAAAAAUAUUACAAUUUUCCAUUAAUCUCCUAAUGGAUAUGGAAAUAUGCAUGUGCAAGCAUGAAAUUUGUCUUAUUUUUACUACUGUGCGAUGUUGUGCAAAUGUUCAGCACAUUCCAUUACCACUGCUCAUUUCUCCUUAUUUCUAACUGAUUUUUUCAUGAAGUAGAACAAAAUAAGUUUCAAACAGCAUCUAAUGUCAAAUUUUGGGGAAUAUGAACAGCAAUUGAAAAAUGAACAUAAUAAUGUAUAUUGACAAGAAUAAUAUGUACAUGUAAUUCAAUGAUAAGAACAUUUGAUAUAAAUAACCAACCACACACUUUUGUCAAGACUCCCCUGUUUGAUGUCAAGUUUUUCAUUUUCUAAAUCCAUAUUUAGAUACAACUAUACACAAGGCCCAUAAAAAAUUGGUGCUAAGAAUUUGGUUUCUUAACCUGAGAUACUGUUUGUAAGAUUUAGAACUAGAGUCUUCCAAUAAAUAAAGAAAAGGCCCAACUAAGCAGAGGUAUCGACGCUGCCAUUCAGCUGCCCUAUUUGCCACGCCCUGUCACAUAAAAAUUAUGAAGCAAAAUCAAAAGCUAAAAAGAAGAAGUAACUCAUUGUCAAAAGGCUCGCCCUGUUUUUCAAUAUUGAACCAGGUUUUCAAAUAACAGUAUCAGCAUCAGUCAAUCUGUUACAGUUUUGCACUCAAUUGCACUUCAUGAACAUUUUUAAAGUUCAUAUCUCAUAAAAAUGAUAUCGAUAUUGAAACAUGGAUUUGAUUUCAUAUGCACUUUACUCAGAUAAUAGCUAAAGGAAAUAGCUCGUCGCUCGUUUAAAUAAAUUCAAUUAUUAAACCUAAAAUUAUGAAGCAUUCAAUUCAUAUGUUCAAAUAACAUCAUCUCUUAUGUAUCUAACAACAUUGAACAUUUCACAGCAAAUAACAAGUAAAAGAAAAUAAUAAGAAUUAAUAAAUAAGACCUCUUGAAGUAUAAAUUAACAAAUUUUGCUGACUUAGAACAAAUUAAAAUUGGCUAAAAUGGCAGAAAAGAGAAGCGCUAUAAAAAAGGAAAGAAAUCACAAAAGGAUCUCUCUCGCAUAAAAAGGAAGAGGCUAUUGUUCCAUGACUGAGACAUCAAUAUGCAUCUCAGUCUAUUUCAGACAUAUUGUUCUAUAUAAACCAAUAAUGAUAGUAUGGCUAUAAAUCCCAAAUCACAGUCCUAUACUCCUAUUAUACCCUGUCCUAUAUUGUCAAUUGCACCUUCAAAUUCCAUGAUGAUCUACCCAAUACGGAUGUACAGCCAAUUUUUGAAAGCCUGCAUUCAAACACCAGGAGAGAGAGAGAGAGAGAGAGAGAGAGAGAGAGAGAGAGAGAGAGAGAGAGAGGAAGGAGAAUAAGAAGAAGAAGAAGAAAAAACCUUUCGAAUAAGAAGAUGCAACCACCCUUCAAAGUCCGCUUGAUCCCAAAAACAAAGAAGACUUGAAUUCUCAGCAUCCUCAUCCUGAAACAUCCUUGCUACCUGCAUCAACCGAUGGUACCGUGCAGGAGAAAAGUGAAACCCUAAUGACGGCAACCGCACAGAUAGUCUUGUGGAAGGAUAGGAUGGGUUUUCUAAUCGAAUCUGCAUAUGACGUGAUGUUAGUUUCUAACUCAAAAGGUAAUCAACUACCACAAUCAUGCAUGUAAUAGAUGAAAACCAUGCACACAACAUAUACAGGUGCAUGUACACAAGCCGACACCAGUAAAAUGUUAUAACCCAAAGUGGAAGCAUCCACAUUUUUACCUGUUGAAGCCUUACAAUUACUCCACACUUAUCAAUAACAGGCAAGAAGCUAACACCAUUUGAUUUGCCAGAAUCAGCAGACUUGCGCAAAGGGGCUUGACUCCAGUUGUAGUCACCAUCAACCAAAAAGGCAGAGAUGUCACUCAAAACCAAAUCAAACUGCAAGUACAUAUUGAGCUCCUCAGAUGGUCUCCUUUUAUUGUCAUCCUGCAUACAUUUGAAAAAUCCAUAUAAAGCAUAACUCUGCAUUCCAAAAUGCCAAGAUCGAGUUCAUUGAUGAAGAUGAACCUGUGAGCGAAUCACCAAAUUUCCCAAGUCUAGCAAAAGUUUUGUUGCAUGGACGUUGUUAGGACGAAAUUCAGUAGGAAUUGUAAUUUUUGGAGCCGCAAUGUCCAAGUCCAACAGAAACCUAAUCAGCAUAUAGAUGCAAAAUGUCAUUUUCUACCAGUUAAAUAUGUCUCCAACACACCCCCACAUGCAAAUGCCACUGGGCUUGAAGCGUGAACAAACACAUGCCCACUUUAUCUUAUGCUAUAUCAAUAAAUGGAGGUAGUGAGAAUUCUAACUGUAGACCUUUUUAGUCUGACAGGCUCUAAUGCCAUGUCAAGGAACCACUUCACCUAAGCUUGUAGGUGAAAGCCCCAGUAAUAGUCAUAUAUCUCCAACAUCAACUAACAUAUUACUAGCCUAGGUAACUGGCAGUAUGCAGCUUUCAAUACAGUCGCAAACAUUUGCACAUAGUUAAUAUUAAAAUUAAAUAAUGCCACAGAACAUAGCUCUAACUCUACAAAUAUUUGCUGAUGGGCUUUUAACAAUCCAUAGGGAAUCUGCUUUGCAACCUUCCACCAAAGUACCAAGUUGCAAGGAAUAUCCAUAAACCUUGUACAAUAAUUUCUCAAGACAUAUUAAUAAACACGAAACAUAAUGGAGAUAUUCAAAACUAUAAGCAUGUAUUUACACGGAAACGAUCACUUUUCAUUCGAUAGAAGAAGAUUAUUAGUGAAGAAAGAAGAGCAAUACAAAUUGGACAACAACACGACCUCCCGUCAAAGAAAGAAGAGAAGUAUGACAAAAGAACAAAACUAAUAAAAUAGCCCGUGUCAACAUCAGCCAAAAGCACUCCUAAAAGAUGACAUAAAGAAAAAACUCAUAAAAGAUCCAAAAGAUAACACCAUAUGAGUUCUACAACUAAAUUUAUACUUUUAUAAAAAUGUCAAAGAACAAUCAUUACAACCCUUUUUCAAAUGGAAAACCAAAACAGAGAUACCAACCUUGCUUGAUCUUUCAAAGCUCUGUUCACUUGUUGUUGAGCAGUGCGCUUGACUCCAUCAAUGGUCAUCUGGUUACCAAAGGAGGAAAAAUGUUGACUUAUUUGCCGAUUUCUAAUUAUAUGAUUUGAUUAAAUUACAAAUUCUAGACAUAAAUUAAGAUCCUUAAUUAUCUUUAUAAUUUUUUUUUAUUAUUUAUUUCCUAUCUAGUUGUAAUUCUUUGUAUAUAGAUAAUCAUGUAAAUCACUUGUAAAGAUUAAGAGUGAAAUAUAAGAAUACUCUAAAAUUCUCCGAAAUUCUUCGUAGUAUCAAAGCUUUUACCUUAUUUUAGAGUUUAAAUUCAAUUUUUUCUCUUUAGGGUUUCUAAAACCCUACAUCUACGAACUUUUUUCGUCUCACCGCCGCCACCAGCAGGGUCGCCGGACUGUCGCCGGCCAAUUGUCCAACUUCGAUGCCAGAAAUCCACACGCGUGAGGCUCACACGCCCUUCCUUCCCAGCGCGUGAGGUUCAAUCCAAAGCUGCUAUGCUGCCCAUACAACCCUGGCACCGUUCCGGCCAUCCCAUGCCGCUACCCGGUUUCUUGGUAAUUUGGUUGGACUCUCUUGUGUAUACAAUCUUGAGUACCUAACUCUGAUAAACCUUCCUUGCAAAUUUAUCAGAAACUGUGGAGGAGCUAUUUAAGGAGACAACAGCUGCUGAGCUCCUUCCCCCUAAUGAAAUUUAGAGACCCAAGUGCUUCAUGUCUCAUAUUGACACCUCUUCCUCCUCUGGUGUCACAUCUAAUUUUGUGAAGUCAGGUAAUGCUUUCUCUCUUGAUACUAUUUUAUGGAUUAUUGAUUAUAGUGCGAAUAGACACAUGACAGACUCUUCUAAAGAUUUUCUCAAUUAUUUUCCUUCUCUAACGAAAAAUAGUGUCAGAAUUGCUAAUGACUCUUUUACUCCCAUAUUCGGAACCGUUCUGUUAUUUGUGCACCCUGUUAAAUUUGGGCCAGGUCUAACUCACACCAAAAGCUAGCUCAAGGGGUAGGAGUGCCUAUAGCCCAUAGAAGGGGCACAUUACCCCUUUUCACAAGCGAUGUGGGAUUCAACACACCCCCUCACGCUCAGAAUUUUAUUGGUGUGUGACAUAUUUAUAGGAGGCCCAACAUCAGAUGGGGAGGCUCUAAUACCAUGUUAAAUUUGGGUUAGGCCUAACUCACCCCAAAAGCUAGCACAAGGGGGAGGAGUGCCUAUAGCCCAUAUAAGGGGCACAUUACCCAUUUCCACAACCGAUGUGGGAUUCAACACACUCAAUAUUAAAUUGUCAUCUGUCCUCCAUACUCCCCAUUCUCCCAUCAACCUUUUAUAUGUCAAUGCCAUCACCAAUGCUCUUAACUGUAAAAUUGAAAUUUUUUUUUUCUAAUUAUUGUGUUAUUCAGAAUCUUUUCACAAGGAAGAGGAUUGGUAAUGGUAGACUACAUGAUAGCUUAACCAUGUUGGAAGGUGAUGUAAGUUCUCCAAUAUCUCAAGCCUGUUUUGGAGAAAAUAAAGAUGCCAAUUAGAAAAUAAUACAGUGACGCAGACGGUUAGGGCAUACAUCGUUCUUUAGAAAAACUUUAUCCUAAUUUGUUUGCUAGAACUCAGUUUGAUUCUUUAUUUUGUGAUGUUUGCGAGUAUACUAAGCACGCUAGAAUCUCCUAUCCUUUGAGUUAUAAAAAGCCAACUUCCUUUUGUGACUAUUCAUUAUGAUGUUUGGGGGCCUACUCAAACUGUCUCUUUAUAUAGUAAUUAAUGGUUUAUCACUUUUAUUAAUUGUUGCACUCGAAUGACUUGUGUAUAUUUGAUUAAAACUAGAAGUGAUGUCUUUUAUUUUUUUCAAACCUUUCACAAAAUAAUUUGUACUCAAUUUGAUACUAAGGUGAAAAUUUUGAGAAUUGACAAUGGAAGAGAAUAUAUGAAUAUUACAUUUUCUGCUUAUUUGGAGUCCAAUUGAUAGUACACCAAAUAAGUUGUCCUUAUACUAGUGCACAAAAUAGAGUUGCUGAAAGCAAAAACAAGCAUCUAUUGAAGAUAGUUCGAUCUCUUAUGUUCACCAUGAACCUAUCCAAAGCAUAUUGAUAGAUGCAGUCCUUGUAUCUUCUUAUCUUAUCAAUCGUAUGCCCCUUAAAGCCCUAGACUUUGUUAGUCCUUUGGAGGUUCUACAAGGACGGAAUUCAUACAUUGUUUCACCAAAAGUAUUUGCGUAUGUUUGCCUUGUGCAUACUAAAACAGUAGGAAAGUUGGACCCCAAGCCCUUAAAUGUGUGUUUGUUGAGUAUUUUCCGACACUUAAAGGAUACACAUAUUAUCAUCCUCCAUCUAGGAAAUACUUUGUCAGUAUGGAUGUUGAAACUGAACUCCACUUUAGUAACACCGACUCACCUCUUCAAGAGGAGAAUAAUGAGAAAGAAGCGAUGAUCUCGAAUUUUGUGAUUCUGAAUGAUAUGGUUCAAAGGCAAAGUUCUAGCAGACAGAGGGAGACGUCUGAUUCUGAAUGAUAUGGUUUAGAGGCAAAGUUCUAGCAGACAGGGGGAGACAUCUAAUCAGAGGAGAGAAUAGGACAUUUGGACAAGCCAAAUUUGAGGAGGUAUUCGAAGAGAGAGAAGACAGAAGAAGCAAUGAUGCCAGCCUAUUUGGAGUCAAGAAUUUUCUUUUGGCGAGUUACCCUCAAAUCUUGAAUGCUCCAAUAAUUUAGAUAAACCUAUUGUACAAAUAAAAGGUGUCAGCUCUUGUACCAAAUACCCUAUUUCUAACUUUAUUUCUUAUGAAUCUUUGUCUCUCUACUAUAGAGUCUUUGCCUUGUCUAUUUCCUCUGUGUCUAUUCCACGGAAAUGGAAGGAAGCUCUCGCAGAUCUUAAAUGGAAGGGAGCAAUUAUUAAAGUGAUGAAAGCACUAGCAAAAAAUGAGACAUGAGAGCUUGUCUUUCUCCCACCUGGGAAGAGACUUAUUGGCUGUAAGUAGGUACUCACAGUGAAACACAAAGUUGAUGGUACAAUUCAACAGUAUAAAGCCAGAUUGGUUGCUAAAGACUUCACCCAAAUCUAUGGAGUGGAUCAUCAAGAGACAUUUGUCCCAGUUGCAAAAAUAAACUCAAUCAAUCAGAGUGUUGUUAUCUUGUGCAACCAAUUUGGACUGAGACUUACAUCAAACGAAUAAUACAUUCCUCCAUGGAGAUUUAGAGGAAGAGGUGUUCAUUGAGAUUCCUCUUGGGUUUGCUGAUGAGAAGACACAAAGAAAGUUGUGCAAAUUAAAAAAGGCUUUGUAUGGGCUAAAACAAUAUCCCAGAGCUUAGUUUGAUAAGUUUAACAGAGCCAUGAUAUCCUUUGAUUACCAACAGAGCAAUGCUAAUCAUACUCUGUUUAUUAAACAUCACAAGGGUAAUAUCACACUUCUUAUUGUGUAUAUUGAUGAUAUAGUGGUGACAGGUGAUGACAAAAAGAAAAUGGCUUAGCUAAAAAGGUUGUUGGCUCAAGAAUUUGAAAUCAAAGAUCUAGAAAAGUUUCAAUAUUUCCUAGGUAUUGAGGUGGCCAGAUUAGAAAAAGGGAUCUUUAUCUCCCAAAGAAAGUACAUUUUGAAUCUUUUGAAAAAAACUGAUAUAUUGGGGUGUAAACCAACAGAAUCUCCCAUUGAAAGUAAUCACAAGAUGCAAGCAAGAGCUAGUGAGUCUGUGGAUAUUGGAAGCCGGAAAAUGUUCCCAAAAUGGCAUUUCGGAUCCACUUUAGACACUAUGAAUUCCCUGUGAUGCCUUUUGGUCUCACCAACGCCCUAAAAAUGUUCCAAGCAACCAUGAAUGACAUAUUUUGGCCUUCACUCCACCGUUUUGUGUUAGUCUUCUUUGACCACAUACACGUUUAUAGUCGCUUAUAGGAUGAUCACGUGUCCUAUAUGGAUCAAGUUCUUCGACUGUUAUCAUCUAAUCACUUGGUAGCCAACAUGAAGAAAUGCUCAUUUAGAAAGAGGUCUCUCUCUUUCUUAGGACUUUUAAUAUAUGUCGGAGGUGUGUCAAUGGAUCUGGAUAAAAUUGAGCAGUGCUACAGUGACCUGUUCCUAACUUAGGAAAAGAUGCAAGGGGUUUGUUAGGGCCCAUAGGAAAUUAUCGCCAAUUCAUUCAACAUUAUGGUGAAAUUGCACAGCCCCUAACUCAUCUAACAAAUAAGGUAUCCACAAUAUUUUGUUUAGGAUUCUGCUGCGCAAGAAGCAUUUGAAAAGUUGAAGGCUACAAUUGACCAACUCUAGUAUUAUUGAUGCCUGAUUUUCACCAAUCAUUCUAUUGACCAAUAUAGAAUGUUCCUAGUUAGGAGGAUUCAGAUAUUUGAAAUCCUAAUUAGGCUUAAUUAUAGGCUAGAUUAUAGAGAUUUUAUUCUUAUUGUAAAUAUUCUUAAUUUAGAUUGAUUCUUUGUGUAUAAAUACUCAAACCUUGUAAAGAUCAAUUCAAUUGGAAUAGAAUUAAAAAUUCCUCCUAAAAUUCUUCAUGGUAUCAAAGUAUUGCCACUUUAAUUGGCAUAGGUUUCAAAUAUGUCACAAAAAGUUAAGGUUAACUAAUAGGUCAAGCUUCUAGGUGACUAUAUCAAGGGAGUUGUUCGACACCCCCUGUACCGGAAGAAAGCCCAUCAAAUUUGCAGCCGAUACCCCGCGAUGUGACCCUGCUCUGAGCACAUGCGUGUCCUCACACGAUGCCACAGCAUUUCGCGUCUCCUUCCAUGCGCCGGCGUGUGAGCCUUUCUCCGGCGUUCUUUUCUUUCAGCGCUCCUUUCCGGCCCUCUUUCAAGAAUGUCGUGUCUCCGACCGGCCAUUUUCCAUGACUGGAUUCUCCUUUGGAUUUUUCAAGGUGUGUUAACGGUAACUUGAUCAUUACUGCCUCUUUGUGUUACUGGCCCCUUUUACCUUUAAAAUGUCAUAUAAGAAAGGCACUAAUGGAGGUGAAGUAUGUUUUUUGAUACUCCUCCAUAAAUUAUUAAUUCUGGUACAAAUAGACGCAUGACAGGUUCCUCUAAAAGCUUCCUUAAUUACCUUCUGUAUCUACAAAAGGACACAGUUAGAAUAGCCUAUGGUUCUUUUAUUCCUAUCUUCGAAAUCGGAUCAAUUGUUUGUACUUCUAAUAUUAAGCUAUCAUCUAUUCUCCAUGUUCAUCAUUUUCCUGUUAAUCUUUUAUCUGUUAGUACUCUUACCAAAACUCUUAACUGUAGAAUUGAAUUUUUUUCCCUACUAUUGUGUUAUUCAAGACCUUCAAACUAAGAAGAGGAUUAGCUAUGGUAGACUACAGGAUGACAUAUAUGUUGGAAGGAAAUCUGAGUUUGAAAUCACCUCGGGCACUUUUUGAAAGAAAUCAAGUUGUCAACCAGGAAAUCAUAUAGUGGCAUCGACGGUUAGGACAUCCAUCCUUUUUUAUUUUAGAGAAACUUUAUCCUGAUUUAUUUUUCAAGGCUCCAUGUGGUUCUUUAGUUUAGUUUGUGAUACUUGUGAGUAUGCUAAGCAUACAAUAAUCUCGUAUUCCUACAACAACAAUAGAAAUAUGAUCCCUUUUGUGAUCAUCUAUUAUGAUGUUUGGAGACUUACUCAAACGAUCUCAUUAUCUGGUAAUUGUUGAUUUAUUACUUUUAUUGAUUACUGCUCUUGCAUGACUUGGGUUUAUUUGAUAAAGGCAAAAAGAGAUAUGGUUUCUUGCUUUCAAUUUUUUCACAAGAUGAUUUGUACUCAAUUUGAUGCUAAGAUAAAAGUUAUGAGGACUGAUAAUAGUACAGAGUACAUAGAUGGCCAUUUUUCAACUUAUCUGGAGUCUAAUGGGAUGUUGCAUCAAACUAGUAGUCCUUACUCUAGUUAAUAGAAUAAGAAUGGCUCAUCAUGAACCUUCCAAAAACCUAUUAGGAGAUUUGGUCUUAGCCGCAAUUUAUCUCAUUAAUAGAAUGGCUCUCAAAGCUCGUCUUUAAGAGCCUUAGGUGCUAUAAGGGAAAAAUGCUUGUAUUGUUCCACCAAAGAUAUUUGGAUGCACAUAUUUUGUUCAUACUAAGACAAGUAGGAAGCUCAAUUCGAGAGUUCUUAAAUGUGUGUUUGUUGGGUACUCUCCCACACAUCAAGUUACAAGUGUUAUCACCCUCCAUCUAGAAAAUAUUUUGUCACUAUGGAUGUUACAUAUAGAGAGUCUGAACCUUACUUUAGUACUACCCCAUCACCUUAGGGAAAGAACAAUGAGAGAGAAGAGAUGAUUCCUAGUCUUAUAACUCUAGAGGAGACUACUAUACAGAAGGAGACUAUUGGUGAUCAGGAAAAGAUAAUUAGGCAUUUAAAUAAACCAGAUUUAAAGAGAUACUCAAGAAGAGACACAACAAAAGCAGAAAAAGAUAUUGUGCAGCCUACUUAGUGUCAUGAAUCUUCCUCUUCUCCAUCGAGUGAGUCAUCCCUAAAUCUUAAGCCCAUUAAUGAUCUAAAUAAACUAAUUGUCCAAAAAAAAAGGAGUUAGGUAUUGCACAAAGCACUCUAUUUCUAGCUUUCUCUCUUAUGAUUCUUUGUCUCCAUCCUAUAGAACCUUUGCCUUGUCUAUUUUCUCUGUGUUUAUCCCAUAGGGUUAGAAGGAAGCUCUUAAAGAUUUUAAUUGGAAGGGAGCAAUGAUUGAAGAAAUAAAAAUCUUAACUAAAAAUGAGACCUGAGAAUUUAUGUCUCUUCCACUUGGAAAAAAACCAGUUAGCUGCAAAUGGGUGUUCAGUGUGAAACACAAAGCGGAUGGAUCAAUUGAAAAAUUUAAGGUCAAAUUAGUUGCCAAGGGAUACACCCAAACUUAUGGAGUAGAUUACUAGACAUUUGCCCCUGUUGUCAAAAUGAACUAUAUCAGAAUAUUGCUAUCUUACCUACCAAUCUUGACUAGGACUUACAACAAUUUGAUAUGAAAAAUGCAUUUCUCCACGGAGACUUAAAGGAGGAAUUGUAUAUGGAAAUCCCUCCUAGAUUUGCUUAUGAAAAAAUAUAAGAAAAACUGUGCAGAUUUAAAAAAGGCUUUGUGUGGACUGAAGCAGUCACCCAGAGCUUGGUUUGAUCGAUUUAGCAAAUCUAUGAUUUCCUUUAGCUAUCAACAGAGCAAUACUGACCAUACUCUAUUUAUCACACAUCACAAGGGUAAAAUUAUUGUUUUCAUAGUCUAUGUUGAUGAUAUAGUAAUGACAAGAAAUGACACUAAAGAGAGGGCUCAGCUGAAAAAGCUUUUGGGUCGGGAGUUUAAAAUUAAAAAUUUACGAAAACUUUAAUAUUUCAUGGAAAUCAAGGUUGCCAUAUCAAAAAAGAAAAUCUUUAUUUCUUAGAGAAAAUACAUUCUAAAUCUUUUGGAAGAAACUAGUAUGUUAGGCUGCAAACCAGCAGAAACUCCCAUUGAGAGCAAUCACAAGCUACAAGCAAUGAUUGGUGAAUCAGUGGAUAUUGGCAAAUACCAAAGGUUGGUAGGCAUACUAAUUUAUCUUUCGCAUAUUCGACCAGACAUAACAUAUACACUCAGCUUAGUCGGUUUAUGCAUGAUUCUCGUGAGUCCCAUAUGCAAGUUGUUUUUUUGCAUUUUGCGAUGCUUGAAGUCUGCUCCUGAAAAGGUCUCCUAUUCUCUAAACAUAGUCAUCUCCGUGUAUCUAUAUAUUCACAGAUGCAUAUUGGACUGCAUCUCUUAAUGAUAAAAGGUCGACUAGUAGUGGUUACUGCACACUUGUGGGAGGAAACCUUGUCACUUGGAAAAACAAAAAGCAAAGUGUUGCUUGAUCAAGUGCUGAGGCGGAAUAUAAAGCAAUGGCACAAAGUGUUUAUGAACUUUUAUGGUUGUAGAGAUUGUUGGAGAAAUAUUGAAACUGUUGGAGAGGGACAAACUCCUCUUUUAAUGCGACAACAAAGCUGCCUAUUGUUUCUAAGCCUGGUCUUAAAUAUUUUAUCACUUUUGUUGAUGAUUACUCUCGUGUUACCUGGUUGUAUUUGAUGAAGAAUCGUUCAGAAUUGUUUUCCAUCUUUUGAGCCUUUUGUUCUCAAAUUAAAACUCAGUUCAAUGUUCCUGUGUGGCUAUUAUGCAGUGACAAUGCCAAAGAAUAUUUUUCAAAGAACUUUCAAACCUUCAUGAACCCAAAAUAGAAUGUUUCAUUAGUCUUCUUGUAUCGAUAAACUAUCUCAAAAUGGUGAUACCGAAAGAAAAAACGGCAUCUUAAUUAAGGAAUAAUUAGAGGGUAUCAACUAUCUAGUGUUUUAUCUUGUAAUUGGGAGCUGGAACUUUUCCUGCUCGAGGGAGAAUUAUCUCCUGAACUUGUUUGGCUGUUUAUCCUUUUUAACACAACUCCUCCUUCCUUCUUGUUGGUUCUUGUGUGAUAUUACUGGUAAAAUUCCUUUUCUCUAACAGUACUCAUGUCUCCAAUUAUUAUAAGCAUGCUUACAUGAGAUUCCUUUAAACAAUCAAAUUUCCUUCCUGAACUAUAACCCAUGUUUGCUCAAGAGUGUUGACCAGCUUGAAAGCUCCUACUAACUAACAUUUUUUGCACCUUCCAAAACAAUAACCUACUUGAGUGCAGCAACAAUAAAAUAAUUUCUAGAAGGCUUGCCUAGUAAUCCAAGCUAACUUUUUAUUUAUAAUACAGAGAUCAUGUACAAAUAGAAGAAUACCUGCACAGCAGCAGCUGUUUCCAGUGCAAUAGUUUGACUGACAGAAUGGUUGCUCUCAAAAAAUUUGAUAAUCUCAUGAAUGGCAUCCUUCAAGUACUGGUCAAUAACAUUAAUCAGUAAACAAACACAACAAAAGUGUAAGCUUAUCAUCUUAUGAGAAAUAGAGAGUAGCAGCAUACGGUCAUGUAACAUGGAGAAGCUUUGACAACCAUGCUCCAGUCCACCUUAGCAUCAAAAGGCUUAUAACAGAAGGCACCAAUUAGAGAGUCCAAAGCAGUUGCACUCUGCAGGGAGAAGGGCCAAAUGAUUUUGGGUAACAUACUAAUGUCAAGGAACAAAUAAUUAGCUUUUAUGGCUUUGUAACAAGGAGGACCCCAACCUGGGCGAGAAGACCGUUUGGUGAUGAUAACUGAUAGGACCCCAGUUUCAUGUCAAAAACCUUUGUUUCUGGGUAAAGCUUAAUGGAGCAAUCAAAACCAUCACAAGAUAAUUCAGCAAGACACUUGUGGUCCUCAACAAGCUUUGAAGCAUUAUGUUGCAUGUGAACCUCCAAAUAAGUAUGAAGAGCAUCCAUCUUCUCAUUGAAUAUUACUGACUGCCCAUCAUCACCUUCCUUAUAACCUAUCAGUUUGUUAAGUUGAUCCCAGUCCUCAUCACUGAAACGAAAUUGUUCGCUUUCAUCUUUGAAAGAUUGACUGCUCCUGAAAAAGUAGACAGAGACAGAAAAUAUUACAAAUUUUACCGCAUUGCCAAUUAAAUAAAGAUCAGCUUCAAAGGAUUUUCUCAAGGAAAAGAAUAUAUAUCACCAUCCAAAUGACCACCAUGAUUUCUUUGCUUUCUGUUUCAUCGAGUCAAGUUCUGAUUCCAUUGACCGCUCCACAAACUUGUGAGCCAACAUCCUGCACAAUAUCAGGAAUCAGGAUAGCAUAAAAAUAGUCCAAUGCCAAAAAAACAAAAAACAAAAAAAACAAAAAAGAAGAGAUCUGCAGACCUAUCAUGAACAGUUGACCAUAUAACUCAUAGUAUAGGAACCAUAAGUACAUAUAGAUGCAAGCACGCACAUAUAUGGGAAUUUCAAGGCAAGGGAUAAAGUGAUGGAAUCAAACAACAGUCGUAUAACAGGAUUUUUGGGGGGGGCAUUUCCCAUGACACUGUUAUUUAAAGGCUGCCUAACAACUGUAGGUGUAACUGUAAUGGUUGUUAUGGCCUUUACAUGUAAUUCACUUUCACCCCCUUAAAAUCACAUGCCAAACAGAAGUGUUCUGCAUUCCUACGACCUCCAACAGUUUUACAGCUCUUUUUUUCAGGAUAUCUCUUUCUUUUCACUCAAAUAACACAUUCUUCCUGCAUCUUUCUCCCCAUACGCUAAGAUUUAUCAUAAACUACCUCCAUUUCAUAGUUCUUUCUUCUAAAAGUGAGUUUAUUUUUCCCUUUUUUGCUUUUAUUUUUUAUUAUUUGCUGUCUUUUGCUUUUUUUGUUGAUUAAAAUUCAUGUUGAUGUCAGAUAGAAAUGAAAGAAAAUUUAAUGAUGUUUAAGUUAUAUAGUCUUUAUUGGAUGUAUGUAUGCAUUAUUAGUCAUGUAUGCCUAUUAUAUAGUCAUGUACAUUACUUUAUUUUUCCCUUUUUCGCUUUUAUUUUUUAUUAUUUGCUGUCUUUUGCUUUUUUUGUUGAUUAAAAUUCAUGUUGAUGUCAGAUAGAAAUGAAAGAAAAUUUAAUGAUGUUUAAGUUAUAUAGUCUUUAUUGGAUGUAUGUAUCCAUUAUUAGUCAUGUAUGCCUAUUAUAUAGUCAUGUACAUUACUUUAUUUUUCCCUAAUUUAAUGAUGUUUAAGUUAUAUAGUCUUUAUUGGAUGUAUGUAUUCAUUAUUCGUCAUGUAUGCCUAUUAUAUAGUCAUGUACAUUACUCUUAUCAAAUCAAUUCAUUUCAUGAACUUUGCAAAUUGUUUUGAAAAAUUUGGGUAGCAGCAGGCAUUGCCUUUAUGUUACAGCUGGCAUAGGCCUGUUUCCAUAGACGCAUUUAAAACAAUGCGAGUCUCUAGAGGCCUAUGCAUGUAUAUUUGUCAUUUCCUCUUGGCUGUAACAGAUUUUCUCCUACCAUAAAAGAACCUUAUACAGAAAUUAGGUUAAUGAUUUUGGAAGUAUACUAUUCACAGUAUCUGAUAAUUUAUAAUUUCACUGGAAUGAACUCAGCUGGAGUCUCUAGAGUCUUAGUUUUGUGUAUUAAAGAACCUUAGUAAUUCUAGCAGUUAGUUUUAGCUGUUUAUUUGGAACCCAAGUCCUUCUAAGGAUCAAGAUUAGGGAUUCAAGUAUUUGUUGUACAGGAUUACUUCCAGUCCAGAAAUUAUUAAGCUUAAUGCUUUUUGAAGUUUUACGGUGAAUAAAAUUCACGCAAUUUAUGCUUUUGUUUCUGAGUUCCGUGAUGCAAUUCUAAUCCCAGAAAGUGUGAUGCUUUCUUAAUUGGAGUGGGUUCAAGAUUCAACCAGUGUGAGGCUAGUAGUAGUUUUUUGUUUGCCCUUUCUUCUGUUUUCUGCAAAAAUCAGAUCUGCCACCAGUCUUCUAAUCCUUUUUUGAGUUCUAUAAACUUUAAAUAUAAACCAGUCUUUCAAUCCUUUUUUUGAGUUCUCCAAACCUCAAAUCUAAUUUUCAAACACAAAAGUUUUCCCUAGUCAUCGUAAAACAAGUUAUUUCAUAAAUUAAAGGAAAAAUAACUCAGAGCACAAAAUUAACUCUGGCUAAAAGUUCAACAACAAAUAACAGUAAAUAAAAUAAAAUAAUAAUAGACACUGAACUGGUAAGUGUCCGAAAAAAUGUGCAUCACUUCUAGCUCCGACAGAUAACCACUAUACGCCUUGGACAGGAAUAUUCAGAAGCUAGUAUCUUAAAUAAUAUUUGCACAAGUGAAACUAGCAAAGUGCGUGCACAUACAUGCAUAUGAGAGCAAAAGUUUUCCAUGUUUGUCCCAGUAAAACAGUGCAGUUUAUAUAACAGAGCUUUUCUCUUUCCCUUUCCACAUUAUCAGAAUCUUAAAUAAUACUCCUGCAACUUCCACUUCCGCUGAACAAUUUUACUCGUCCACUUGCUUAACAAUGAGCAUGCACUACACAAAAUGACAAUAAUAAUAUAUCUUGCACACUUGUCAAUACCUCCACUGUAGUAUGAGUUCAAUGUCAAGUUCACGGUCCAGCUCCUCAAUUUCUUUGUUGUCAUCUAUUAUUGCCCGCUUUGGGUCAGACUUCAGCAGAGAAGCAUAUAGAGAGAUAUAUCUCUUACGUAAACUUGCAUAUCUUAGUACCUGCUCCCAGGAUAACUUCCCACUGCCACAAAUAUCAUUUCCUUAGCAACAGAAGCAAAUCAAAACCUAAAACAAGUUAUGUGGGGAAAAAAUAAAAUACAAGUACUACAAUCCCAGAACCAAUUGCAACCACCCAACCUAAAACAGAAAGUAAUAAGCCAUUGCCAAAAAUUAUCUUGAGAAAUAAAGACAAAUAGCAUUUUCUUUUUUCUUUUAUUUUUCUUUUGUGGCUUCAGCAACUUCCAUUCACACUGAAGCAGAUUGUUCAUAAACAAAGCAUCAUAAACAUUCAGGGAUUACACUUAUUUAUGCAGGGAAUAACAUUCAGGGAAUAUGAAUGGAUUUAUACUCCCUGUUUUGAGUAACAUUUCAAAGAUCAUGUACCGGAUCUGAGCACUUUUGCAUUUCAGUUUACCUCUAUAAGAAAUGGACUAGUCUAACUCAACCUUAAAAGCUAGUUCAAGCAGGAAGGAUUGCCCAAGUCUUUAUAUUUAUCUCAAUUUAUUUAUCCCAAACUGAUGUUGAACAACACAUCCCCUCAUGUCUAGACAUGAACAUUUAAAGUGUGAAGUUUACAAGAACGAACAUCUGCAAGUGGUCUAACAACAAAUCAAGAGUAGACAUUAAUAUCAUGUAGAGAAAUUAAUUUAGUGAGCCUAACCCAAUCCCAAAAACUAGUCAAAGGGAAGACUGCCCAAGUCUUUAUAUUUAGCACAAUUUCCUUAUCCCAAACCUAUUGGGAACAACAACCUCCAUGCGCUUUAAAUAAAUUUUUUAUUUUUGUCAAAAACAUGAAUGCAUGUUGUUAUAGGUUAUAGGAAGUAAAUUUUGAUAGAUAUAUCAGUUGUUUAAUCUUAGGGAGUGUAUGAUCAUAGACUUGAUUUUCCUUUUUGUUUAGUUACUGACUCUCAUGUAUAAAUAAGUUAAAAAUUUUGUAAUAUUGUAAUAUACAACAACAACAAAUAUUAUCUUUCUACAUGAUAUCAGAGCUUCACCCAUAAAGAUUUAAAAAUUUUUUGGAGACUUAGGACUCUAUUCAUUUGGGUUACCCAUAUAGAGUAACAUUUGGAUCUCACAGCCCCCCUGGGAAGGACGCCGAAGCGCCGGCGAAGCUUCCCUAAAGAGCCGACGGGCGUUCGGCUAGCGAGUGGGCCUCACGCGCCGGCGUGUGAAGGCGCAUCCCUGCUCCGUCGCUGCUCCGGUCACCAUUGACAGAGUCGCCACAACGUCCCCUUGUCAGACAUAGUUUGGCAGGUCCAAUGAGGUAGUCCAACAGUAUGGAAUGAAGACGAGUAAGUGUGAUCACUCAAUGUUUUAUAGAAAUUCUGAUAGUGGAGUAAUUCUGCUUGUAGUAUAUGUGGAUGAUAUCGUUAUCACAGGAAGUGACGUUGCUAGUAUCACAUCCCUAAAAGAAUUUCUUAAAACACAGUUUCAUACAAAGGAUUUGGGCUCCUUGAAAUAUUUCUUGAGAAUCGAAGUUAUGCGGUAUAAGAAAGGCAUCUUCUUAUCUUAAAGAAAAUAUGUCCUUGAUUUAUUGGCAGAAACAGGAAAAUUGGGUGCUAAGCCUUGUAGUGCUCCAAUGUCCCCUAACCUUCAACUUACCACAAAAGACAUUGAGUCAUUUGCAAAUCCUGAAAGGUACAGAAAAUUAGUUGGCAAGCUGAAUUCUUUGUUACCUUAAAGGGCCCCAGGGUAAGGUCUAUUCUAUAGUAACCAUGGGCACUCAAAUAUUAAAUGUUUUUCUGAUGCUAAUUAGGCAGGUUCGAAGGUUGAUAGGAAGUCAACUACUGGAUAUUGUAUUUUUGUGGGAGGUAACCUGGUCUCAUGGAAAAGUAAGAAGUAAAAUGUGGUCUCCCGUUCUAGUGCCGAAUCCGAAUAUCGAGCCAUGGCACAAGCCGUUUGUGAAGUCUUGUGAGUACGUCAACUAUUGGAAGAAGUUGGCUUCACAAAUUCGGUGCCUGCUAAGUUGUGGUGUGAUAAUCAAGCAACUAUCCACAUUGCCUCCAAUCCAGUAUUUCAUGAUAGGACUAAACACAUUGAGAUUGAUUGUCAUUUUGUUCGUGAGAAGGUCCAACAAAAGAUAAUAUCAACAGGAUAUAUCCAAAUUGGAGAAACAACUAGAAAAUAUCUUCACUAAAGCUCUAAAUGGGACUUGAGUAGAUUAUAUAUGUAAUAAGUUGGGCAUAAUUAACAUCUAUACUCCAACUUGAGGGAGAGUGUUAUAGGUUAUAGGAAGUAAAUAUUGAUAGAUGUGUCAGUUGCUUAAUCUUAGAGAUUGUAUGAUCAUAGACUUGAUUUUCCUUCCUGUUUAGAUACAGUCUUUCAUGUAUAAAUAGGUUGUAAUCUCUAUUGUAAUAUACAACAACAAAUAUUAUCUUUCUAUACAUGUUAACCAAACAGUCCAAAACUGAGCAAAUAAAACACAGCAAACUGAGUGACAAAACUCAUACACACAGAGUCAGACACAUCUCUAAAUAAUACUGAUGAACACAUUGAGUCAUGGACACAAGUCUCCGGACAAAUAUCAGCAUACACAUCUAACUGCAACUAAAUCAAGACAAAGAUAAGGUAGCUGCGCCUUAAAUAAAUUUUGUGCGAAGAAGAAUAUAAUUGAGAAGCACUUUUUUUUUGUUGCAAUAUCCAAAGCUUAUACAUAUACCACCAAUAAGCGAACCUGAUAAUUCAUGUCAACUGUCAAGUGAUUUCUAGGAUAUCUUCCUUGCAACCAGGGGUGACCAGUAUUCAGUUCAAACCGAAAAAAUCGACCGAACCGAAUUAAUUUGAAAAUUCAGUUCGGUUUUUUAUUUAUUUCGGUUUAGUUUAAUUUUUAAUUUUAAAAUUUUCGAUUAUUUCAGUUCGGUUCGGUUUUGAUCUGAAAAAAUUGAAAAAACCAAACCGAACCGAUUAGUGAUAAUAAUAUAUUAUUUUCAAUAAUUUAGAGAGAUUAGAUCAUAUUAAGGUUAAAAUAGUUCAAUUAAAUUUUAAAAUACUAAAAAUAAAGUAUAAAAAAUAAAAAAUUUAUUAAAAAUUUAAACCUAUCAAACCCAACCGAAUCGAACCGGUUCGGUUCGAUUCGGUUUCUGACCAAAAUCGAUUCGGUUUUUAUAAAUAUUAAAAUUUUGGUUUUUGAUUUAUUCGGUUCGGAUCGGUUUUGAACCGAACCGACCGAAUGCUCACCCCUACACCAUCCACCCACAAAAAAUAAGAAGAGAACAGGUCAACACAAUUAUUUUCUCCAAGCCAUGGCUUCUGUUUCUUUAGUAUCAUCCAAACUCCAAAGCUUAUCCAAAAACAGGCACAUAAAGGCAAACUCCAUAACUCACCCCAGUGAUUUCUAGGGCAUCAACCUCCAGUACCAUUCACCCACCACAAAUAAGAAGAAAACAAUCCAACACCAUUUUUUUAUAACCAAAAUCAUCAUCUGUGAGUACUAUGAAUAAGCUUAAGUUUAACUUUUUAAUUUCAUUGCCAUGCAACGGGAUGCAAUAAGGGCUUGGUGUCAUUAUGUUAAUAAAGAGUGGGUCGGAGGAAUUUUAACGAGGUCCACCACAUAAACUAGACUUCCUAGUAUCAUAUUUAUUCAGAUAUAAAAAGUUAUAAGAAUGUAUGAUAAAGCUUUUAUCUUAUCAUUAGCAACGCAUCAAAAACCAGCGUCAAAAAAUUGCAUGAUACUUUCAAAUAUCAUGUUACUAAGUAGAAGGCUAAAGAAUAGUUCAUCGCAUAACCCAAUUUAUGUUGUUAGUUAAUCAUUUUCUCAAAAAACCUCACUUUAAACCUACUCUGCAAUACUGAGCAAAAGAUAGGAUUAAUAAUUUAGGAGGUUAAUGUGGUCUAAAAACAAAAGCUCCUAAUCUGAUGCCAUGUUAAACAAUCACCUAAAUCCAAACGUAUAAGUUGCCAAAUUGCAGGAACAUUACUUAUUAUUCAUGAUAUUCAUACACACUGCAUAUAACAAUUUUCCAUAUCACUUUCAUCCAUAAAAAUACUCCAGUGAUUUUUUAACCGCAUGCACAUGAUGAAACUUGUACUAUAGAACAAAACAACUCAUGCUUUGCUCUCAAACAAGUAGGAAGAGAAGAUUUCCACCAUCUGACAUCAUAUGCAAAACCUCAGUGACUAUCCCAAGAAAGGUCACCUAAAUUUGUCACAUAUCUAUACCUAUUUUCGCAGUGUCAAAGCAAGAAUCAAAAUCUUCAUAUUGUGAAUCUGGAAUCAAAACUGAAUCAUAAGAUUCUAUAAAAGUUCUCAAAAGUAAUUAAAAUAAUUUAUAUUCUAAAAAAUAAUUAAAAAAUCAUAACAACAUGUUUUGAUAAAUGUAAAAAUAUCAAUACGCUAAUUAGACUAUGUUUUAUAAUAGAACAGUAUAUUCUUGUCAUGUUAAAUGGCUUUAUUGUUAUACAUUAUGAAAUUUUGGAUUGUAGAUGUUGAUUAUCAUUUUACAUAUGCAGAAACUCCCACUUAACUAUGAUCAAAUAAUUAAAUAAUAACAGAAAAAGAAUAGCAGGACACAUUAAACCACCAGCAAAUAUUAAUAAAAAUAUCAAAAUUUGACAAAUAUAACUAACAAAGAAAAUUCACAAAAAAAAGGAAAAAAAAAAGGGGGAUAGAGAAAAGAUUCGCACCAAUGGAAGAAAAAUAGCCAAGGGAAAGUUUAUAUUCACUUUUAAUAGCAAAAAAGAAACGAAAUACUAAAAUUAUAAAGCUAUAAAGUCCAACAAUCUUCUAGAGAAGAACUGACAGAAUCAGGUGAAGAAUCAACCUCACCUAUUAACUAUCAAUUUUUUUGAUUUAGUCACAAUUCAGGAACAUUUUUUAUUUACUCUAGAUCCAAAUCACUAGAAUGGGGAAUCAAAUCAACAACCAUACAAUUUGACUCAAAAAUCGUAAGAUUCAGGCAUAUUUAAGAUUUCCCCCACAAAUUUGAAUUGCUACGGUGAAGAAUUGAAUCAGAAGACUGUAACUAAUAAUAGUGCCUAUGUCUGCUGCAAUAACUUCUAGUGAUUUCAAUAUUUUUAUUCAGAAAGAAAAGAAUUACUAUUUCAAUACCUUGCCUUCUUCAAUUGGUCAGAGACAACUCUGUAUGCAUAAUUCCACCACAACCGUGUAUUAUAUUUUACUGGCACCAAAGGACGAUAAUGAGCAUAUUUUAAGCGUUGAUUAAAUGCAGCAAAAUUGUCAGCUAAUUUUAAAAUAUCCCUGUAUCCAUCCUGCAAAACAAAGAGAUAACUUAAUGAAAAACCUCAUGAUCCUACUGCUCUCAGAGCAAAAGCAAACAUGAUGCAGAAGACCAGUGAAGACCUUUGACAAACAGAGUGUCACAUCAUCCAAGUUCACUUCUGCUUUCUGGAGAGGCUGGCCUCCAUUAACAGAUUCAUUCGACCUCAACUUUGAGUACUUAGCAUUUCCAGUCACUGGUUGCAGAAUGUAUGAGUGCUUUUUCAUUAUAGAAUCUGACGGUUUACCAUCUUUUGUACCAAACCUAAAAACCUGAAGUUCCAUGGAAACUUGAAAAUAAAUAUCAUUUACGGAGCCAAGAUAAACAUAAAGCAAAACCAAAUAGUUCCUAAAACUAAUGUAACAAAAAUACUGAAAAUAUGAUACCUGAACCCACUCAGAAGGACGCAAGUUCUCCCAUGGUUUGCUAAUAUACCAUGGUGAUAUAUCAGAAUCCAGAUAAAUAGCAAGUUGAUCAAGUUCAACAGACUGAAAAAGAGCAGAACACAGAAAAUUACCCAAAACAGUGGUAACACACAAUCCAACACUGAAAUCAUUAAUCCAGUGUAAGGGGACAGUGACAAAGAAAACCUUGAUGCUAUUUCCAGGACAAGAUUCAUCCCACAAGCAAGCACAGAUCCUCUAAAGUUUAAAGUAUUAAGAACACUGAACACAGUAAGUUGCAAUCGCUAUCAGCCCUCAUCUAAACAUUUUGCAACAUGAAGAAUUUUAGAGUAUUUUUGUAUUUUCCUCUUAAUCUUUACAAGUGAUUUAUAUGACUAUUUACAUACAAAGAAUUAUGACUAAAAAAAAAAAAGCAAAUAAUUAAAUAAUUACAAAAAUAAUUAAGGAUCUUAAUUUAGGCCUAGAAUCAAUAAUCAAAUUAAAUUAUAUCAGUAGAAAUCAGCAAAUAAGUCAACACUCCUCCUCAAGUUGGUGAACAGAAUCAAAUUAUAAUAGGUUCUAUUAUUGAGCCAUUUAGUAAAUACAUCCGCAAACUGCUCAAGACACAGUCUAUUAUUUUUUCUUCAAUGAAGUGUUGAUCGAUCACAAUGUUCUUCAUUCGGUGAUAUUGAACUGGAUUUUGUUCUAUACUUAUGGCAGCUUUGUUGUCACAAUACAAAAUUAUCUUGUCUCUCUCGAGUAAUCUCAGCUCUUCCAAUAACUUUUGCAACAACAAAAGUUUACACACGCCUUGAGCCACUACUAUGCAUUCUGCUUCACCACUUUACCGAGCAACACUUCUUUAUUUUUUGGCCCUCCAGCUGACAAAAUUCCCUUCCACAACCGUGCAGUAUGCAGAGAUUGAUCUCCUAUCAUUGAGAGAUCUACACAAUCUACAUCUGUAAAAGUUUCAACUCAGAGAUGAUCAUGGUUGGCGUAAAGAAGUCAUUUUCCUGAUGCAGACUUUAGAUACUUCAAGAUGCGAAAGACAGCCUGCAUAUGAGUCUCAGGGUCAAGCAUGAAUUGGCUGGCUGACUAAGCUAACAGCAUAGACUAUAUUCGGUCGAGUGUGUGAGAGAUAAAUCAACCUCCCUGUCAAUCUUUGGUAUCUUCCAAUAUCCACAGACUCACUUGUAUCUUGUGAUUACUUUCAAUGAGAAAUUCUAUUUGUUUACACCCCAACACAACAAUUUCUUCCAAAAGAUUUAGAAUGAACUUUUUGGGGAGAUAAAAGAUCUCUUUUUCUGAUCUAGUCACCUCAAUACCUAAAAAAUAUUGAAACUUUCCCAUAUUUUUUAUUUUAAAUUCUUGAGCCAACAACCUUUUUAGUUGAGUCAUUUCCUCUUUAUCAUCACCUGUCACCACUAUAUCAUCAACAUACACUAUAAGAAGAGUGGUCUUAUACACAGAGUAUGAUCAACAUUGCUCUGUUGGUAACCAAAGGACAUCAUGGCUCUACUAAACCUAUCAAACCAAGCUCUGGGAGAUUUUUAUAGCCCAUAUAAAGCCUUUUUUAAUUUGCACAUCUUUCCUUGUGUCUUCUCAUCAGCAAAACCAGGAAGGAUCUCCAUGAACACCUUUUCAUCUAAAUCUCUAUAAGGGCCGCAUCUCCUCAAUAUGCUUUGGGUAGGUUCAUGGUAAACAAAAGAGAUCGAGCUACCUCCAAUAGAUACUUAUUUUUCCUUUCAGCAACCACAUUUUGUGCAUUAGUAUAAGACCAACUUGUCUAGUGUACUAUCCCAUUGACUCUUUAUAAGCAGAAAACCUACUAUCCAUAUAUUCUCUUCCAUUGUCAGUUCUCAAAAUUUUCACCUUAGUAUCAAAUUGAGUACAAAUCAUCUUGUGAAAAGAUUGAAAAUAAGAAAAAACAACACUUUUAACUUUAAUCAAAUACACCUAAAUCAUUCGAGUGCAACAAUCAAUAAAAGUGACAAACCAUUGAUUACCAGAUAAGGAGACAGUUUGAGUAGGCCUCCAAAUAUCAGAAUGAAUAGUCACAAAAAGAAUUUGACUUUUAUUAUCACUCAACGGAUAGGAGGUUCUAUUGUGCUUAGCAUACUCACAAGCAUCAUAAAAUAAAGAACCAAAUUGAGUUCUAGCAAACAAACUAGGAUAAAGUUUUUCUAAGAUAAAAAACAAUGAACGCCCUUACCGUCUGUGCUAUAUGUCUAUUCGCACCAGAAUCAAUAAUCCAUGAGCCAGUAUCAAGAGAGAAAGCAUUACCUAACUUCACAAAAUUAUAUGUGGCACCAAAAGCGGAAGAGGUGUCAAUAUGAGACAGGAGGCGCUUGAAAUUGUAAAUUUCAGCUGUUGUUCUCUUUAAAGGGCUCCUCCACAGUUUCUAAUAAAUUAGUGUGAACUCUAGAGGUACCUCGUUUCCCCCCAUAGCCCCUAGUAGGAUGACCAUAUAACUUUCAACAAGUCUCCUUAGCAUGCCUCGGUUUCCCAUAAUAGUCACGAUGCAAGUGAACUUUCUCAAAAUUAGGAGGCUGCAGUGUGCUCAAACUUGUAGCCAACCCAGCCACUUCAACUGGUACAGUAUAAAGCAUCGCAUGCCGGUGUUUGGGUCAGGCCUAACUCACCCCAAAAGCUAGCUCAAGAGGGAGGAGUGCCUAUAGCCCAUAUAAGGGGCACAUUACCCCUUUCCACAAUCGAUGUGGGAUUCAACACACCCCCACGCCCAGAAUUUUUACUGGUGCGUGGCACAUUUAUGGGGCACCCAACAUCGGAUGGAGAGGCUCUGAUACCAUGUUAAAUUUGGGUCAGGCCUAACUCACCCCAAAAGCUAGCUCAAGAGGGAGGAGUGCGUAUAGCCCAUAUAAGGGGCACAUUACCCCUUUCCACAAUCGAUGUGGGAUUCAACACCAGCCAUUUCAACUGGUACAGUAUAAAGCAUAGCAUGCCGGUGACUUUCCUCUUGUUGAAGAUAGACAUGGGCCUCUUCUAGUGAAUAAAAAGGGUUUUUACCUAACACUUGGACUCGAAUUGGAUCAUAUUCAUUAUUCAACUUUACAAAACAAUUAUAGACGCGCUCCUUUUUAAUCAUUUUUCGAAAAUCACUACAUCUCCAGUACACUCUGCCUGAAAGUGCAGAUAGUAAUCAAGCUCCUGCCAUCAACCACAUAACUCAGAAUAAAAUUGGGAGACAGUCAUUUUUCUUUGCUUAAUACUAUUGAUCAUAUUUCGAAUAUUAUAAAUUUAGUCAUCAUUCUCAAUCUUGGAAUAAGUCAAGAACAAAGCCUUCCAUAUCUUUGCAACAGUAUCAAGUAAUAGGACUUAUAGAUAUGAGAUUGCAUAGAGUUAAGUAAUCAAGUCAUAACAAGACAAUUAUCUGAGUCCCAUUGAGGAAAAUCUGGAUCAAUCUUAUCCGGUUGCUUCUUAUUACUAGUGACAUAGCUCUGCAAUCCUCUAGCCUUGAAAAACAACAAACAAGACCUUGACCAAGCAAGAUAAUUGGUUCCAUCAAGUUUUGCAGGACUAAUUUGCAAGGAAGGGCUAUCAGAGUUAGGAAUCAAGACCUUUUUACCUUCUGCCAUGAUAAAAAUGAACUGUGAAAGAAUAAAAGGUACCCAAGAUCGUACACAUAAGAGAGUCUUAACCAAAUCACCAAGAGACCAGGUAGCGGCAUGGGAUGGCCAAAAAGAGGUCGGAAAUGGCAGCCCGAGUGGACUGGGCAGGAAAGUAGUGUAAGACAGAAGCUCAUGCGCAAGGAAGGAAAGGCGCAUGAUCCUCACACACAUGGAGUUGCGGCAUCGAAGUUAGGCAGCUGGCCAGCGACAGUCCGAUGACUCUGCUGGUGGCAGCAAUGAGAUGAAAAAAAGUCCCUAGAUAAGGCAGUACCAAAUAGGUAGAUCUAGAGUUUAGAAAUUCUAAAAAGAAAAAAUUAAAUUUAAACCCUAAAAUAAGGAAAAGGCUCUAAUACCAUGAAGAAUUUUAAAGAAUUUUAAAGUAUUUUUGUUUUUCACUCUUAAUUUUUACAAGUGAUUAUAUGACUAUUUAUACACAAAGAAUUAAGACUAAAAAGAAAGCAAAUAAUCAAAUAACUACAAAAAUAAUUAAGGAUCCUAAUUUAUU